rnacentral:lncRNA from 1 species
GCAGCACUUUUAUUUUGUGAUGUGUGAAUUUUUGUAAAAGAAAAUUUGUUCAAAAUUCAAUUUGAAUGAAGCUUUAAAAAUUAGUUUGAAAAAAAAGAAGAAAUCCAUCCCCCCGCUUUCGGCAAACUUGGCCCAAACCAGCCCAACGCCAGCACCCUCCUCUCCCCCUUCCUCUCUCUCACUGCCAGGCGGGGCCCGCCUGUCAUCCCUCUCCUCCCGCAACUGCUCCCUCCCUCUCUCUGUUCUCAGCACAACCGCCCGAGCCGCCCCGCUCCCACGUUCUUCACCCCUUCUUCCCCUGCGCCUCGGCUAUUUCGAACUGCACCCGCACCCGAGCCUUCAUCCGUGCCUCAAUUCGCUCUGCACUCGCCCCUGCCCCCGCUCGCUACGCGCAGUAGCCGUUGCAAGGACACCGCCGGCGACCUCUAUGCGAAAUCCAUCGGGCCAAGCCGUCCUCGCCGUUUCUGUCGCGCUGGUGAGCUCUCCUACCUUCCCUGCAUUCUUCUCGGCCAAGUCCUAGGCUUUUGCGUGCCCCUAGCCUCCCAGCCGCGAGCUCCGGCGAGCUCCAUGGCUGCCGGCCAUGGAGCGUGUCGCUCGGGUCUCUCCCCGGCCGCGCUGAGGGGAUGGGUGUGUUCGCAUCGUCCUUCUCUCCCCCCCGUGCUUUCGGAAUCGAAAACCGUGCACCGUAGCUCCCGAUCCAUUUGCGCCGGCGAGCUUUGGCCGGAAUCCAUGGCCACCGCCGUGUCUCUGCCACGCUCUGGCCGGUGUGCCACCCCCUCCCUCUCUCUCUUUUUUUUCUUUUUUUUUCUUUUAAUCAAGCGCAUCCAAGCUUGAUCCAACGGCCAUGAUUAGAACUUACCCCUUCGCGGGGAUUUUUAUUAAAGAGCCCCUCGACUUCAUAGAUAUAGAACCCGCAGUCCUCGGCCAACUCCAGAUCCAGAUUGAAAUUUGAUUUAAAUUUCAUUUUCGACUUCAAAUUAAUUACAGAAUUGCCACUUCAAUGUUUUGGCCAUAAAAUAUUCGUUUUAGCUCCGAUUUGACCCGUUCAAAUUGCGUUAGAUUCGUUUUUACGAGAUCUACAUGUUAGUAAUCUUGGUUCAUCAGUUUGAAAUAUUUUAAUUUUGUGACCCUAUUUAAUUAAUUACUUUUCUAAAGAAAAUCUUAGAAAAUUCAUAUCUUCUCUGUUUUAGCUCCGAUUCGAUCUGUUCAAGUUGUGUUAGUUUCAUAAUUUUAUAAGCUUCACGUUGGUAUCAUUGUUGCCUAGGUUCACCACUGUUAGAUUUCCUAGUUAAAUACAAGUCCGUAGAUAGCCUUUGCAGUCCCGUUUAAUGCGUAGAUUUCACGUCGUAACUCCGUUUUCCGUGAAUUUCCUGUUGACGUGAUCGUAGCAGCGUGUAGAUGAUUUUGGAAAACUUUUAUUAAAUUUAUUUACUGCUGGUGUACUGUUCUAAUUGCAAUCUUGUUUGCUUCGUGUAUGUCUGUCUUCGAUUGCUAGUGUGUUGACGAUUGGUGACCGAGUUUUGGUCAGUGGGCAUUACUUCGGUGAUCAAGGUCAGAGCCGUGGAAGCAAGUAAGAUCAGCAGGACUAGCAGGAGCAAUUUGAUUAAGGCAAGUAUAGCAUUUGGGUUUUAAUUCUAUGACUAUGAUCUUGUGACUAGACUAAUAUAAAGCAACAAAUGAUAAUAAUGACUUUUUAGCAACUUGAGGAUUUAUUCGUAAGUGAUAACCGGGAUGAAAGUGCAACCAUGAGGGCUAUAAUGGCUCUGGCUUUAGUCAAGUAUGAGUAACUUUUCUAGCUUGUUAGAGGUUACCCGUGUGGCGCAAAUGGGGGAUAGCAGACCGUGGAUCCCCUACGGGGUAGAAUCACAUGGAAUGACUACCGAAACCAAGCGGCCCUAACCUGUUAGACGAACCUUUGAAAGACUUCAUAGUGAUCCCUGCCGACCUACCUUGGUAGUGGGUUACGAGGCUGAUCACCUUAGGCGAAAGGGUAAAUCAUGACUCAUGGGUAAAGAUGUACAACCUCUGCAGAGUGUUAAAAACUGGUAUACUAGCCGUGCUCACAGUCACGAGCGGCCUUGGGAACUCUUACAUUAAGGGUGAUGAAUCUUGUGUUAAGAAACUCAUUGAUUAUUGUUUAAUGCUCUAUAUUAUUUAUGUCAUAUUGAUCAUGAGAUUGUGGGAUCNNNNNNNNNNNNNNNNNNNNNNNNNNNNNNNNNNNNNNNNNNNNNNNNNNNNNNNNNNNNNNNNNNNNNNNNNNNNNNNNNNNNNNNNNNNNNNNNNNNNAUAAGGGGUAUAUCAAAGAACAACGCAUAAAUUACAUAGCGUACAUAGUAAAUCAGAAACAACCUUAGGCAGCAAACCACGGAAUAUAACUCCAAAGUUCGGGUGUUAACUUCACUCUACAGGAUCCAACUGACUGGUUGAUCACAAGCCCAAUACUUCUCCUGAGGUGUGGGGGAGAUAGCAAGAGUGAGUCCAUGACGAACUCCGCAAGUAUAACAACUAGAUUGUAUAGAUCCCACAAUCUCAUGAUCAAUGUGACAUAAAUAAUAUAAAGGAGUAAACAAUAAUCAAUGAGUUUCUUAACACAAGAUUCAUCACCCUUAAUGUAAGAGUUCCCAAGGCCGCUCGUGACUGUGAGCACGGCUAGUAUACCAGUUUUUAACACUCUGCAGAGGUUGUACAUCUUUACCCAUGAGUCAUGAUUUACCCUUUCGCCUGAGGUGAUCAGCCUCGUAACCCACUACCAAGGUAGGUCGGCAGGGAUCACUAUGAAGUCUUUCAAAGGUUCAUCUAACAGGUUAGGGCCGCUUGGUUUCGGUACUCAGUCCAUAUGAUUCUACCCCGUAGGGGAUCCACGGUCUGCUAUCCCCCAUUUGCGCCACACGGGUAACCUCUAACAAGCUAGAAAAGUUACUCAUACUUGACUAAAGCCAGAGCCAUUAUAGCCCUCGUGGUUGCACUUUCAUCCCGGUUAUCACUUACGAAUAAAUCCUCAAGUUGCUAAAAAGUCAUUAUUAUCAUUUGUUGCUUCAUAUUAAUCUAGUCACAAGAUCAUAGUCAUAGAAUUAAAACCCAAAUGAUAUACUUGCCUUAAUCCAAUUGCUCCUGCUGGUCCUGCUGAUCUUACUUGCUUCCACGGCUCUGACCUUGAUCACCGAAGUAAUGCCCACUAACUAAACUCGGUCACCAAUCAUCAACACACAAGCAAUCGAAGACAGACAUACACGAAGCAAACAAGAUUGCAAUUAGAACAGUACACCAACAGAUCAAAAAUGAAAUAAAAUAUUUAAAAACAGAACCUACGUUUCGCUACGAUCACAUAGAUACGAAGAUCACGAAAAUCGGAGCUGAAACGACCAAAUUACGGAUUUACGGCGAUUUCCUAUAGCUAUUUAAUUAAUUAAACCUAACCCUGAAAUUAAAAAGUUGCAAACUACAUAAACAGUGGUACUAACAUGUAGAGAAUUUAAUUACGAAUCUAACGCAAUUUGAACGGGUCAAAUCGGAGCUAAAAUGAAUAUUUUAUGGCCAAAACAAUGCAAUGGCAAUUCUGUAAAUUUCUGAAAACGCCUUUUGACCUAAACCGACGCAAUUUACGUUUCCUAAACAGCAAAGCGUAUUUCUAACGAAUACGCUAAGGACAGCGGGUUGUUUUGGAAAAAACAUAGGGUCUCUUUAGCAAUUUUACCCUUGAAGUGGUACGGGGCGCCCUGGACCGUCCGAUUAGAACUCAACGGCCCAGAUCGCAAAAUGAGAAAGAGAGAGAGAAGCAGGGGGCGCGGCCGCCGGAGGGGAGGGAGGGCGCGGCGGCGCCGCCAUGGCCGCGGCGAGCAAGCUCGCCGGAGAACUCGCGCAGGCGCUACGGAGCUCGGUUUCACGAACUAAACACACCGGGAGAGAGAGGAGAUCGCGGCGAAUCCAACACGGGGCAUAACGCGUCCAGAGGGGCGGCUUUCAAGGAGGCCGACGGUGGCGCCCUGGCCGGCCCCGUCGGUGCUCCUAGGACAUCCACUAGAGGCGCUAAAAACCAAAGAAAAUGGGUCAGGGAAGGAGAGGGAGGUGGAGCGCGCUCUCCACGACGAGGAACGGGAGCAGAGGCGGCUCGGAACGGUGGCUUUCGUGCGGAGGGUCGCGGCGGAGCUCCGGCGUCGGGUUGCGCGCAGCAGGCGAAAACGGAGGCGAGGGGGGAAUGGGGAAGGGAGUGCUCGGACGCGCGGGUGCUCUCCUCUUGAAGCCGAAACGCGGGGGGGGGGAGAUCGUGGGCGUGGGGGGGCGCGGCUUGCGGUUCCUGAACUGAGAGAGGGGGAGGAGGCGGUUUGGAUGGAGGAGAGGGGAAGGGGGUAAGAGGGUGGCCGGCUGGGCCACGGCCCAGGAAGGGAGAAGGGGGGCGCGGGGUGGGCUGGGCCAGCAGGCCGAGAAGGAGGGGGGAACUGGAUUUCUUCUUCUCUUUUUUUCAAACUAAUUUUCAAAGCUUCUUUCAAAUUGAAUUUUGAAUAAAUUUUUUUUUACCAAAAUUCACACAUCACAAAAUAAAAGUGCUGCAGCAGGAAUGCAUCAAAAAGUUUUCUAAACUUAUAUUAAAUUUUAUUUUCCCAAAAUUUUAUUAUUUUUCCUAUAUUUUGAUGCUCACAAAAUUGACUCAAUAAAUCAAAUUCAACUAUUUAAAACAAGGGAAUUUUUAGGGUGUUACAAUUCUACCCCCCUUAAAAUGAAUCUCGUCCUCGAGAUUCGAAAGAGGCUCAGAUCCUCUAAGAGAAACAGGAAAAUAUCUUGAUAAUCCUUUCAACUUCACAACUUGCAUACCAAACUUAAGCACUUGUCUCAAGGUCACACCUCAUGAACAACAUUUCCAUUGAAUAACUAUUAUUCAUAGUUGACCGAAGUCCAUCUUGACUACUAAUCCUCUUAUCUUACAACUCCAAGAGACAUAGAAACUUAAUAUGCAUUUGCUUCAUCAGGUAGGAGUGGACCACCGUGAUACUCAAUUCUUUUUCCUGACGGUGCUGCUAAGAGCAUUUUGUACCGGGUACCAUAGAUCACUCCUUUGUGUGCACACAACCAUUCAUUACCAAGGACCAAGGGAAUACUAAGUGACUCUAGCACAAUGAGGUUUAUAGUGAAGUUUUCCUUGUUUACGACCAGAUUGAUAUUUGAGCACAACUGAUCUGCUUGUAUUUCUCCCAGUUGGGUUUGAACUAGUAAAGGCUUCUUCGUUGGACACUUUACCCUCUCGAUUGUCUUUAUGAGGUCGGUGGAAAUGAAAGAAUGCGAAGCACUCGGGUCAAAGAGAGCAAAAACUUGCACUGAGUCUACUUGAAUAUAGCCACCAACCACUUCGGUAGCUCCAUGAAUGUUAUGCCUAUCCACAUUGCUCAGUCUCCCAUUGAUAUAGUCUCGUUGCACCCUACUUCCAUGAGCAUACUUCUUACAGCUUUUCCUUUUUCUUUUUCGCCGUUGUGGAUUCUGAUUUGAUUCAUUUCCAACUUGCUCUUCAGUAUCAUUGUUUUGAUAGAACUCAGUUUCAUCACACUCAUAACAUCCAUCAAGGGUAGGAUCAUCAUUCUCUUCCCACGUAUCAGUAAGAGGCAUCAUAUAGGGCUCCUGAUCCAUGGGAUACUACACUCCCUGUCAUCAAGUUACCAACGUCAAUGACACGAGAAGGAGAGAUGAUCAUAUUCAUAGAAUAUCUCACGAGACAACUCUCACUUCAAGAUAAGUUGAAAAUGCAUCAACCCGUGAUAUCAAGGUUCUAUCCAAGCUUGAUCCAACGCCCAUGAUUAGAACUUACCCCUUCGCGGGGAUUUUUAUUAAAGAGCCCCUCGACUUCAUAGAUAUAGAACCCGCAGUCCUCGGCCAACUCCAGAUCCAGAUUGAAAUUUGAUUUAAAUUUCAUUUUCGACUUCAAAUUAAUUACAGAAUUGCCACUGCAAUGUUUUGGCCAUAAAAUAUUCGUUUUAGCUCCGAUUUGACCCGUUCAAAUUGCGUUAGAUUCGUUUUCGCGAGAUCUACAUGUUAGUAAUCUUGGUUCAUCAGUUUGAAAUAUUCUAAUUUUGUGACCCUAUUUAAUUAAUUACUUUUCUAAAGAAAAUCUUAGAAAAUUCAUAUCUUCUCUGUUUUAGCUCCGAUUCGAUCCGUUCAAGUUGCGUUAGUUUCAUAAUUUUAUAAGCUUCGCGUUGGUAUCAUUGUUGCCUAGGUUCACCACAGUUAGAUUUCCUAGUUAAAUACAAGUCCGUAGAUAGCCUUUGCAGUCCCGUUUAAUGCGUAGAUUUCAAGUCGUAACUCCGUUUUCCGUGAAUUUCCUGUUGACGUGAUCGUAGCAGCGUGUAGAUGAUUUUGGAAAACUUUUAUUAAAUUUAUUUACUGCUGGUGUACUGUUCUAAUUGCAAUCUUGUUUGCUUCCUGUAUGUCUGUCUUCGAUUGCUUGUGUGUUGAUGAUUGGUGACCGAGUUUGGUCAGUGGGCAUUACUUCGGUGAUCAAGGUCAGAGCCGUGGAAGCAAGUAAGAUCAGAUGGACCAGCAGGAGCAAUUUGAUUAAGGCAAGUAUAACAUUUGGGUUUUAAUUCUAUGACUAUGAUCUUGUGACUAGAUUAAUAUAAAGCAACAAAUGAUAAUAAUGACUUUUUAGCAACUUGAGGAUUUAUUCGUAAGUGAUAACCGGGAUGAAAGUGCAACCAUGAGGGCUAUAAUGGCUCUGGCUUUAGUCAGGUAUGAGUAACUUUUCUAGCUUGUUAGAGGUUACCCGUGUGGCGCAAAUAGUGGAUAGCAGACCGUGGAUCCCCUACGGGGUAGAAUCACAUGGACUGACUACCGAAACCAAGCGGCCCUAACCUGUUAGACGAACCUUUGAAAGACUUCAUAGUGAUCCCUGCCGACCUACCUUGGUAGUGGGUUAUAAGGCUGAUCACUUCAGGCGAAAGGGUAAAUCAUGACUCAUGGGUAAAGAUGUACAACCUAUGCAGAGUGUUAAAAACCGGUAUACUAGCCGUGCUCACGGUCACGAGCGGCCUUGGGAACUCUUACAUUAAGGGUGAUGAAUCUUGUGUUAAGAAACUCAUUGAUUAUUGUUUAAUGCUCUAUAUUAUUUAUGUCACAUUGAUCAUGAGAUUGUGGGAUCUAUACAAUCUAGUUGUUAUACUUGCGGAGUUCGUCAUGGACUCACUCUUGCUAUCUCACCCACACCUCAGGAGAAGUAUUGGGCUUGUGAUCAACCAGUCAGUUGGAUCCUGUAGAGUGAGGUUAACACCCGAAGUUUGGAGUUCUCUUCCGUGGUUUGCUGCCUAAGGUUGUUUCUGGUACGGUAUAUAAUUUAUGCGUUGUCCUUUGAUAUUACCCCUUAUUUGUAGCUAUAUGUGAGGUUUGUCUUCUAAAACUCACAUAUGGUGCAUAUCUGAUUUUGUCCUUAAAAUCGGGUGUUACAGAAACGAUUUCUACAGGCAGUGGUCAACGCCAACCGCCUGUACAAAAUAAUUUCUGUUAUAUUUUUUUAUUUUUAGUGUUAUAUAUUAUUUGUAUAUUAUAUUGUUUGUACGUUAUUUGUAACAUAAUGUAAAAUAAUUGGUAUAUUAUAUUGUUUCUACAUUAUUUUAAAUAUAAAAUAUAUUUGUAUCAUAUAUUUCAUGUAUAUUAUAAUAUGAUUAUAUUAUGUUGUUUAUAUAUAUUAUUUAUGUAUUGAUAUUAUAAUAUGAUUAUAUUGUUUCUAAAUUUCUUUUUUAAUUUUAGUGUUAUAUAUUGUUUGUAUAUUGAUAAUAUGAUUAUAUUGUUUCUAAAUUUCUUUUUAAUUUUUAGUGUUAUAUAUUAUUUGUAUGUUGAUAUUAUAAUAUGAUUAUAUUUUUUCUACAUUGUUUGUAACAUAAUUAUGUUGUUUAUAUAUAUUAUUUGUGUAUUGAUAUUAUAAUAUAAUUAUAUUGUUUCUACAUUAUUUGUAACAUAAUUAUGUUGCAUUUGACAAAGCGUUACGAAAGUAUAGUUCUAAAUCGAAAGGUCUCACAUAUAGUUUCAUAAAUUUGAGUGAGACUACAUGAUGACUAGAGUUUACAUGAUGAAUGACAAAUACAAUCUAGGCAGUUACUAUUCUUCCUUGUCCAUCAGCGUGCACCCAAGGCAAAGAACUUUCUGAGAUGCUUCGCUCAACAUUUCUUAUCUUAGCAGGAUAGUCAUCCACAAAGAGGGACAUGUCGCUGAACUGGUUAAAAUCCUCUAGAUCCGCUACACCAUCAACUCCUAUUGCUUGUUGCUUUCCUGGAAAAACUACAUGCUUCAGCUUGUCAGUAGUUUUCUUCUCAUUAUUAGAAAGGAUCUGUUCAGCAUAGAACACCUGUGCAGCACGGUUACCAAGGAUCCACGGGUCAUCUUUGUAUCCCACUUUACUUAGAUCAAGAACUCUGACCCCAUAAUUAUACACUGUGACAUGUUUAUCUUCUACCCAUUAACAUCGAAACACAGGGAUAAAAAAUGUACCCAUAUGUCGUCGAUGAAGCCAAAGUAUGUAAUAAUAUCACCAGUUUCAUCGUCUAUGGCCUCGCAUCGAACACCACUAUUUUGUGUUAUGCUCUUUUUAUCCUUGGUAUGAAUUGUGAAUCCACUUAUGUCAUAGGUUUGCCAUGUUGUCACUUAGCGUGAUGGUCGAGAUGCCAAAGCCUUGAUGGUUUGUUCCUCAAUUGUUUUCCCAGAUGGAAUAUCCUGCUCCCUUAGCCAUGUGUACAAUUGUUUCUUGUGUUCCUUCAUUACCCAAUCAUUUGUUUGCCCCAGAUUAUGUUCUCGAAGCUCAUUCAAGUGUUGAUCGAGCAAAUGCUCCAUUAUCGAGAGCUGAUGUAAGAUGCUGUGAUGUGCCUCAAGGACUGUAUUGUAAUCUGGCGGGAUAAAUGAUUUUCGUCCAAUCCUCCCACUUCCAUGCAGCCUACCCUCAUGCCAUGACGGAGGCAAACCUAUUGCGACCUAGUCUUUUAGGACACUAUUGCAGAAUGGUCCUCCGGACUCAAUUGCCUCUUCAGCACAACACCCCUCUACCAUGGAUGCCUCAGGACGAGCACGAGUUGAUACAUAGCCAUUUAGUAUUGCCAUAAAACACUCGUACGUCCACAUUUCAUGCAGGUACAUGGGACCCAAUGCUUGUAUUUGUGGAACCAAGUGCACCACAAGGUGCACCAUGAUAUCAAAGAAUGCUGGGGGAAAACACAUCUCAAACAGUGACACUGUCUCCACUGCGAAUUCCUGAAGGGAUUCUAACUCAUCACGGUCAAUUACCUUUUCUGUGACCUUAUUGAAAAAAUAGCACAAUCGUGUGACUGCCAUAUUCAAGAACACUGGAUUUAUAGCCCUUAUUGCAAUAGGGAGGAAAGUAGUCAGCAUUACAUGACAAUCAUGUGACUUGUAGUUGGUGAGUGUAAAGUCUUUCAUUCACACAAUACUCCGUAUACUAGAGCAGAAUCUAGAGGGGACUUUCAAAUUCUUCAACCACUCACACAUCACAUGUUUCUCAUCUAUGGUGAGGUUGUAGCUUGCUGCUGGGAGAUGGUACUUUCCAUUUUCUUGAAGAACAGGAUGAAGCUCUUUUUUUAUACCUAACUGUACCAUGUCGAAGUGUGAAUUGAGUCCUUCCUUUGUCUUCGUCUUGAUAUCUAGCAAUGUGCCAAUUAGGCUUUCGAACACGUUCUUUUGGACGUGCAUACCAUCGAUCGCGUGUCGUAUGUCCAAUUCUUUCCAGUAUGGCAAAUACUCGAAGAAAAUGGACUUCUUCUUGAAUGUUGCCCCUGGCAACUAGAAUUGUUGGAUAGGUGGCUUGCAAACACCCCUUAGAGCUAGAGCAAAAAGCUUCGCUUUGUUAUUUACUAACCUCUUGCUCUAGUGAAUUUUUAGAACUUUUUAAUAGGCUAUUCACCCCCCUUCUAGCCAUAUUAGGAACUUUCAACGAGUAUCGCAAAGAUUCAUUCACACUAAGAGCAAUUAUUUUUGUUACGAUCAAUGAUUACCCUACUCUCUUCACAUUGUCAGGGAAAUUCAAAGGAAAGGUUGGUUGUGUGGUGUGCAUAGAUGGAACCCAUUAUGUGUCCCUUAAUGCAUCUAAGAAAAUAGUGUACAUGAGGCAUAGACGCUUCUUAUCAAAAGGGCACAGGUACCGCCUAAAAAAGAUGGAUAAGUACUUCGACAAUAAUGAUGAAAGGAACUCAGAUGCACCAUCAGGUAAUAGCAAAGGCCAGAGAGUUUUCAAAAUAGUGAGCAACAUCAACUUUGUGUUCAGAAAGAAGACAAAGGAUGGAAAACCAAGAAAGGAUGUCAAACCAACCUUGUUAUCCCUGCUCGUUUAUCUACCUUGUCCUAUGUAGACAGGCGCGGAGUCUAUGCUUAGCUUGCUUAGUCCGGUAGAAGUCGGGUGAUGUCCUGUCACCUGCGAGAUAUAGGUGGAUACCUGCUUGAUUAAGCAGUGGUUGCUUGGGGAAAGAAAUAACCAAGUGUGGAAUGUAAUUGGAGACCGGGCAGGGUCUUAUGGUGGGUUGCCCAUAGUGCCCCUGCCUGUGUCGAUUAAGGACCGAUCGUUGACGGCCCUCUUGUCAUGUUGAACGCAUGCCCCACACUUAGCUGGAAGGAUAAGUCGUUCCGACCGCGAAGCCUGAACACUAUCCGGGCCGGGAAUCGAGCCGCCAUGCGCUGUAUUGGUGGUGGUUGAGGAGAACGACGAGGGCGCGGCGCGCAACCUUGGUAUACCUUGGAUACCUCGGUCGCCGGAACGGUCCUCGGGUACUGGCGGUGCCUGCCGAACCCGCGAAUUGGUCCUGGAUAGUGUAAUACGGUGAUCUGUAGCUCACUUGAUCAGUGAGUGUGGUUUGUGUGGGGAAUACCUCGCCAGCUGGUUAGAAAUCGAUUCGAAUCGCCAUCGCUCCUGGACAGUGAGCACUUGACAUGAGCCCUGUCCUCGUAGUAAGGACUAUGGAACACUUGGGUUAUAAUGAAACGGGUUUAUGACUGCUGUGAUGAGGUACUAUCAUAGUCUCAUACUUGCUUGUAAUAGCACAGGAGCAAACCUAGAUAAUAGAUAAUGAUACUUUCAACUUGAGCAGAUUAAAAGAAGAAAAGAUUUGUGUAGGUUCGGGUAAUAAAACCUUGCGGUCUUUGCAAAAUGGUUGUCAGCUACCCCACUAAAUAGCCUUCAUAAUCCUUGAUGAGUCUUUGUUUUAAGUUUAUGACGGGUAAGUCUAGCUGAGUACCUUCUCGUACUCAGGGUUCUAUUCCCAUGUUGUUUUGCAGAUGGUCAAAUGUACUAUGGUUAUUGCAUCCUCUGUCUGUACCCAGCUAUGGGUGAUGACUAGACCAAGGGCGAUGGUCACUCCGUCUCUUCUUUUGCUUUUGUGGGAAUGACCGAACUAUGGCACUGUAUCAGACUUAUCGUGUGUGUUGUAAUUUCAAACUAUGAAACUUCCGCUACUUGAAGAACUUGGUUUGUAAUAACCUUAAGCACUCUGAUGUAUUUUAUGAAUGUUGUAAUUUGGAUGUGCUUGUGGAUGGCGACCGCUAAACUUAUUACGAUCUUGGCUGUAUAUGUGAUGUGUGGUUUGAAAUCCUUCGAGAUUUCACGGACUACCGGGAUUAUAUGGGCUUAAGCGUGAUAGUUCGACUAUGCGAAUGGUCACUAUUAGGCUUAAUCUCUUAUAAUUUGGUCGGUUCUGUUACACUGCUCCCUCCUCAGCUACCUAUCCCUAGGUGCGGAUAAAGUACACGAAACAAUUUUUUUACUAAUUUUCUAUUGGCUUAAAUAACAGUGUACUCAUAUCAUGUUGUUUUAAUAGCAGGGCCUCCCCAACUUAGUCCAAUUCAUUCCUCACUUGAUCAUCACAUUGUCGCAUCUCCACCACGAACAUGACGGUCUCCAAUGCUGACACUGGCCCCACCGCUUCCAAGGCGGUCUCCAACCCCGACGCUGGCCCCAAUGCAUCCACGGUAGUCUCCAACACCAACACCAGCCCCAACGCCUCCACGACGGUCUCCAACAUCGACACUACCCCCAAUGCCUCCAUGGCGGUCUCCAACACCGACACCACGAGCCCAAUCGCCUCAACAGCGGUCUCAAACUUAUAAGAGGUCCACCCCACAAAUGAAGUCGUCUGCCCCGCCAACAAAGAAGAAUGCCUUAGGGAAGACACAAGCUAUUCCUCAAAAAAGUUCUUAUCAAAAGACUGAAGAGGAAAUAAAUGCUUUGAUAAAAAAGAUGUGAACAAUUUAUUUGAAAAAAUAAAAAAGGAUAGACAAAUGAGGCAAAACCUGAAGAAGCCAUACUUCUACGUACCUCUAGAUCAUCUAAGGCAGAAGGUGCAAGCUCACCAGAAAAAGAUGCGUGAACCUUGUAAGCCUUGGCUGGUAAUGGAUUAUGACCACUCUCUCACCAAGUCAUAUGAGGUGUCACAGAAGAAAAUGAAGGUAGCAAGGAAGGGUGUUGCACAGCUCGAGCAACAAUCACAAUCAGUGCCCCCACUAGUUGUUGAUAAUCAAUAUGGUUCAAACUUAGACUUACUAAACUUAGAUGAACAUGUGUCUUUGGAUCAACUUGAGGAAUCUUUCAAAGGCAGUGGUCUAAGCUAUGCCCAAAUAUUCUGCGGAGUAGACAUCCCAAGUGCUAUAGAAGUUGAAACUUGGAAGAUUUAUGCAUUUGGCAAGAGUCUAUACAACCCUACAAAAUUAACAGAACUAGGUAUGCAAAUGUACUUGGUAAACAAGUGGUACUUGCAAGCGUGUGUGAAAGCCCAAGUUUGGUUUUGGAUAAUUGAUGAAACCCAAAGUACUAACCUCUGUGCUAUGUGUGUGUAGAUUAGAUGAGAUUGGUACAUGCCAAGUGAUGGAGCAAGAGAUGAUCAUGGUGAUUGUUGACGGUCGAUAACGUCAAUAUUUAUUAGAACUUUAGACACAAGAUAACACAUGAAUACACACUAGUCUAGGGUUUUAACUGACAAUUUCCAUGAGUUUUGGUGAUUCUUCAUUUUCUAGGGAUUAUUCUAGAAAAGCAUAAAUAAGGGGAUUAUAGUGCAUAAUUACCACGAAACUCAUCCGCGUCGGAAAACAUCACGAGAAGACUCAGGAAGAGUCUAGAAGACACCUGAAGGAGUGAGGCCCACAGAGGAGCCUAGGUUGGCGCCGACCGGCACCCCCUAGGGUUUCUGGUCACCGCCUUUUGGAGUCUUCCUCCUACACCUCAUUGGAAGCCAAGCAAAGUAUCCCUACGUUGAUUUUAAGUCGGUUUGAUCUGAUGGUGCACACAAGAUGAAGACGCGGAUUGAUGACAUCGCAGUUCCUGGCCUCCUACUCCACCUUGGCCUAUAUAGGGACGCCCAAGGCUCCCCCAAGAGGCAUUAUAGACCCCGGUGCUUUAUAUUCUCUAUAUAAUUAGGGUUAGGGUCCCUCUAGUUGAUCUAGUUCUAGAUCAACUAGAUGUAGGAAUUAGAAGAGACUAGUUCUUCUAGAUCUAGUCUUGUUUAGAGAUUAGAGAGAUUGAGUAGAGGAGAAGAGAUUCUGGAGGAGUUCCAGCCUGUUGUAAUACCUGAUUUUAAGAACAAAACCAGAUAUGCACCAUAUGUGAGUCUUAGAAGCCAAAUCUCACAUAUAGCUACAAAUAAGGGGUAAUAUCAAAAGACAAUGCAUAAAUUAUAUAACGUACAUAAUAUAAAAGAGAUAACCUUUGAUAGCAAACAGCGGAUAGACAACUCUAAACUCCGGGUAUUAACUUCUCUCUACAGGAUCCAACUGAAUGGUUGAUCACAAGCCUAAACUUCUCCUGAGGUUUGGAGGAAAUAGCAAGAGUGAGUCCAUGUCGAACUCCACAAGUAUAGCAACUAGAUUGUAUAGCUCCCACAAUCUCAUGAUCAAUGUGACAUAAAUAAUGUAGAGCAUUAAAUAAUAAAUAAUGAACAUAUAUAACACACAAGAAUCAUCAUCGUCGAUGCAAGAAUCCCCAAGGCCGCUCUUGACCGUGAGCACGGCUAGUAUACCAGUUUUUAACACUCUGCAGAGGUUACACAUCUUUACCCAUGAGUCAUGAUUUAUCCUUUAGCCCGAGGUGAUCAGCCUCUUAACCCACUUCCAAGGAAGGUCGGCAGGGAUCACUAUGAAGUCUUUCAAAAGUUCGUCUAACAUGUUAGGGCCGCAAGGUUUCCUUUGCACGUAGAUAUAGAGCCCCCCUUCCGAUGGCACAAUGACGCGCAGCCUAUACACAUAUGGACAGGGGCUCACACUAUACCCAAAACGGUUCAGCCCCUCCGCCCAUUCGGGUAACCUCUAACAAGCUAGAAAAGGUCUUCGUACUGAGCUAAAGCCAGAGCCAUUAUAGCCCUCAUGGUUGUACUAUUGUCCCGGUUAUCACUUACAGAUAAAUCAUCAAGUUGCUAAAAAAUCAUUUUUAUCAUUUAUUACUUAACAUUAAUCUAGUCACAAGAUCAUGGUCACAGAAAUAAAACCCAAAUGCUAUACUCGCCUUAAUCUAAAUGCUCUUGUUGAUCCUGCUGGUCUUACUAGUUGCCAAGGCUCUGAUCUUGAUCACUGAAGCACUCUUGAUCACCACGAAUUGCUCACCGACUAAUUCCGAUCAUCGAUCACAAACAUACGGCAACAAACAUACACGAAGCAAAAAAAGGCUAUAAUUGGAACAGUACACCAAUCAUAUAAAAAUAGUAUGAAAAGUUUAAAAAAAGAUUCUACGCAUCGCUACGAUCAGACGAACGUAAAGAUCACGAAAAUCGGAGCUAAAACGGAAAAGUUAAGAAUUUUCUAAGAUUUCCUUUAGAAAAAUAAUUAAUUAAUUAGGGUCACGGAAAUAAAAAGUUUUAAACUGAGAAAACAGUGUUACUAACAUGUAGAGCUCAUUAAUACGAAUCCAACACAAUUUGAAUGGGUCAAAAUAGAGUUAAGAUGAAUAUUUUUCGGCCAAAAGAAAGUCAGUGGCAAUUCUAUAAAUAGUGAAAACGUAUUUUAAAUCUAAAACCGAGCUGUUUGCGUUUUCCAAACUGAAAGACAAAGUGAUUGGGGCUUACGUUGGUGGACAGAGAGCAGGUUCACCGGCAGCGACGAUUUCUUGGAGCUACAGCAACGCCGGAGCAGUCGACCGUUCGUAGAUAUCGUGUAUAGGCGAGACGAUGGCGAUCACGUUGUAGAGAAGAAUAUAUAAAUUUUAUUUUACUACCUUAGGAAUUCUCAAAUUAGAGGCUUUCCAUAUGAUAGUCUUUGAUGUGCUUUGCCUAAGGGGUUGGUACAUAUAUAUAGGGAGAAAAACUCCCCACCUCCACGUCAACUAGCGAUAUGGUACUAAUUGAUUUGCAACCUUCAUCUUUACUAAUAGACCUAAUUAAUUAUUAAUGCCCAUUAGUAAAUAAAGACAUUGACCAUUGAGAUCAUGGGCUUGAGCGUGAGAUAAAAUGAAAGAUUUUAUUAUUUUCGAAAUUAAUUAAUUUGGCGAAUAAAAUAAUCCUAGAAAAGUCCAGAAUUAUGAUUUAAGCCAUGAAAAAUACUACGAAAGCUUUGAAAAUUCAGAAAAAAUUCUCAGAGAUAUUAUAGAACAUGGGAAACCCGAAUAAAGCUUUUGGAGCUUAUGAGAAGAUUGUUUGGAGCAUCUAAAAAUUAGACCAUGCUCACAGAAAAGUGACAACAUAAGCUAAAAAAAAUUCCCGAAAAAUUUGUAGAGUGCUUGAUGGACGAGGAACUAAAAGAAGUGCUUUGAGUGACAAAGAAAAUAUUUUAGGAAGGUCCUAAUAAAAAUUUGAGCUUAGAAACAAAGAAUUUGGUUGUAGAUAAAAGAUAAAUACGUGGCUAAUAAGGAAGAUCGAUCUACUAAACGUAUUUUAAAUAUUUUUCUUACUAUGAACACAUAAAGGAGCAACAAGCAUCACAUCAAAACAUAUGCACCAGCAUGUAUGCAUAAUAAUAUUGCUGAGCCUUAUGAUAAAUUUUAAUUUAAUAAAAAAUAUUAUUUUUCCUAUAUUUUCAUGAGCACAAAAAUACAAAAUUAAAUAAUUUUAUCUAUAUUUCAAAAGGAGUAAAUUUUAGGGUGUUACAAUUCUACCCCCUUAAGAUGAAUCUCGUCCUCGAGAUUCGGAAGACGGUUAUCACAGAGACUUAGAUUUUGAAUCUUGUUCACUUUCUUAGUAGUUAUAUCUUCAUAGCAAUGAUUCCACUCUCUUACUCCAAGUAGCCUCUCAAGUAUUCCUAAAUAUUGACGAGACACCUAGUGUAUUAGGUACGAUCCUUCUCUAAACUUAUUUCCCCUAUCCUUUUUAGAUGCUACACAUCAUAUAGUCUUUUAAAUUCGCUGUACCGAGUCUCUUGAUCCAAGGUUAGUUUCAUCACUAAAUUCCAAUUAUCGGUACCUUUAUCACAGUUAAGUUGCUUCACUCUCACACUAUACAUACAACUCUGUAGACUUUGGUGUCAUCUGAUCCUCAUACACAACUCUUAAUCCAUGAGUAUCAGUAAUGACAUAAACCUCCAUUGGUAUUAGCACACUCCAAAUAGAAUGAUAUCUUGAAACAAACCAACAUACCAAGCACUUGAUGUUCUUGUAGAUGUUCUAGUUAUUAACCAUUUCUUCUCCUUGUAGUUCUUUAAUUGGGCUACCCCCUUAAGAAAAGUCAACUAGGGGACCAAGAAAGGUAGCUUGCAUACUUUCCAGACAAGUUAACAUUGAGAACUUCUGACAUCCCAAAGAACUUAUGUGCAGUGGAGCAAACAGGUAUCCUGAAAUUUUCUCGCGAUAUGAAAAAUAUCAGCGUAGUAAAACAGGUAUAACUCUUAUUCUGUUAAUCCAAUAGAGUUGCAGAUUAUAUCAUUAGAAAACUUAUGAAAUUUCCUACAACUUUCAUGUAUAAGUCCUCCUUAGGUUCUGUCUUUAAGCAUAGGUAAAAUAACCAAACAUAAUAUCCUUUCUGAUAAUGUCUCAGCAAAGGUGCAGUAACUUCCAGAAUUUAUAUCACGAGCUACUUAACUCGUCUGGAGAAGAUCCUUACAUUUUUGAAAAGUUUAGGAAAUCCUCUACAACUUUCGUAUACCAUGUUUUCCCAGAUUCUGUCUUUAACAUGGCCGAAAAUAGGGAAUACCAAAACUGUCCAGACUUUGAUACAGAACAAAAACAUCCAAUUAUAAAUAUCAUAUCUCAGGUUCUACUUAGCCAAAUAAGUUUCAGCUUAUACCGUUGGAAAGCUUAGCAAGUCGUCUAUAACUUUUCUAUAGAACACUUUUCCUAAUUCUAUAGUUAUAUUUGUCUCAAACAGCAAGUUCCUGAAACAGGUCCAGAUUCUGGACAGCACAUCUAUAUCAUCUUGUGAUUUUUGUAAAUUCCAAACCAUAAUAGCUAUGAGGGUGAUUCUUGCGGUCAGAGAAAGAUCUUGAAGUCUAGUUGUGCUCAGAAAAAUUUGAUAAACUUUGCACGAUCGGACCUUUAGAUACACCAGCAUUAUUGCAAACUGCUCUAGAAGUCAGCAAGGGAUAGAAACAAGAGAUAGCCAAACCCAACUACUUAUUUCAUUAAUCCUUAUGCCUUAGGUAUAUAAAAUAAUGAAAUUGUGAAGUAAUUCCACAAGAUCAUUGCAAUCAUUACAAAGAUCCAAAUCAAACAUAAGCAUAAUAACAAACCAACUAAGCACACUUCACUCAACUUGCGAUAUUAUCGUUCUCUUCAUUAAGGGCAAAGAUCUUAAAACUUGUGUUUCAAAGACGCAAGAAGGGGGUAAGAAAAGAUUCUAAUAGCAUACCAAAUCAAGGAGUGAAGGUGAGAACAUGUACUUUUAAAAUAAGCAACAAGGUGGAGACAAAUAGCAAGUAUAGGGAUAUAGUAUGGAUGAAAAUACCAAGGUUUAUAGAGCAAGGAUUUUAUGACAAUUCCAAAACCUUAAGACGACAAAUUUCUAACUAGGCUUGCGUCCUACAGUCAGCAUUGCUUUAAUACCACUUUGUAAUACCCGAUUUUAAGAAAAAAUCAGAUAUGCACCAUAUGUGAGUCUUAGAAGCCAAAUCUCACAUAUAGCUACAAAUAAAGGAUAAUAUCAAAAGACAAUGCAUAAAUUAUAUAACGUACAUAAUAUAAAAGAGAUAACCUUUGAUAGAAAACAGCGGAUAGACAACUCCAAACUCCGGGUAUUAACUUCUCUCUACAGGAUCCAACUGACUGGUUGAUCACAAGCCUAAACUUCUCCUGAGGUUUGGGGGAAAUAGCAAGAGUGAGUCCAUGUCGAACUCCACAAGUAUAGCAACUAGAUUGUAUAGCUCCCACAAUCUCAUGAUCAAUGUGACAUAAAUAAUGUAGAGCAUUAAAUAAUAAAUAAUGAACAUAUAUAACACACAAGAAUCAUCAUCGUCGAUGCAAGAAUCCCCAAGGCCGCUCUUGACCGUGAGCACGGCUAGUAUACCAGUUUUUAACACUCUGCAGAGGUUGCACAUGUUUACCCAUGAGUCAUGAUUUACCCUUUUGCCCGAGGUGAUCAGCCUCUUAACCCACUUCCAAGGAAGGUCGGCAGGGAUCACUAUGAAGCCUUUCAAAAGUUCGUCUAACCUGUUAGGGCCGCAAGGUUUCCUUUGCGCGCAGAUAUAGAGCCCCCCUUCCGAUGGCACAAUGACGCGCAGCCUAUACAAAUAGGGACAGGGGCUCGCACUAUACCCAAAACAGUUCAGCCCUCCGCCCAUUCAGGUAACCUCUAACAAGCUAGAAAAUGUCUUCAUACUGAGGUAAAGCCAUAGCCAUUAUAGCCCUCAUGGUUGCACUGUUAUCCCGGUUAUCACUUACAGAUAAACCAUCAAGUUGCUAAAAAGUCAUUUUUAUCAUUUAUUACUUAACAUUAAUCUAGUCACAAGAUCAUGGUCACAGAAAUAAAACCCAAAUGCUAUACUUGCCUUAAUCCAAAUGCUCUUGUUGAUCCUGCUGGUCUUACUAGUUGCCAAGGCUCUGAUCUUGAUUACUGAAGCACUCUUGAUCACCACGAAUUGCUCACCGACUAAUUCCGAUCAUCGAUCACAAACAUACGGCAACAAACAUACACGAAGCAAACAAGGCUAUAAUUAAAACAGUAUGCAAUCAUAUCAAAAUAGUAUAAAAGUUUAUAAAAGAUUCUACGCAUCGCUACGAUCAGACGAACGUAAAGAUCACAAAAAUCGGAGCUAAAAUGGAAAAGUUAUGAAUUUUCUAAGAUUUCCUUUAGAAAAAUAAUUAAUUAAUUAGGGUCACGAAAAUAAAAAGUUUUAAACUGAGAAAACAGUGUUACUAACAUGUAGAUCUCAUUAAUACGAAUCCAACGCAAUUUGAAUGGGUCAAAAUUGAGUUAAGAUGAAUAUUUUAUGGCCAAAAGAAAGUCAGUGGCAAUUCUGUAAAUAGUGAAAAUGUAUUUUUAAUCUAAAACCGAGCUGUUUGCGUUUUCCAAACUGAAAGAUAAAGUGAUUGGGGCUUACGUUGGUGGACAGAGAGCAGGUUCACCGGCAGCGACGCUUUCUUGGAGCUACAGCAACGUCGGAGCAGCCGACCGUUCGUAGAUGUCGUGUAUAGGCGAGACGAUGGCGAUCACGUUGUAGAGAAGAACAUAUAAAUUUUAUUUUACUACCUUAGAAAUUCUCAAAUUAGAGGCUUCCCAUAUGAUAGUCUUUGAUGUGCUUUGCCUAAGGGGUUUGUACAUUAUAGGGAGAAAAACUCCCCACCACCACGUCAACUAGCCAUAUGGUACUAAUUGAUUUGCAACCUUCAUCUUUACUAAUAAGCCUAAUUAAUUAUUAAAGCCCAUUAGUAAAUAAAGACAUUGACCAUUGAGAUCAUGGGCUUGAGCAUGAGAUAAAAUGAAAGAUUUUAUUAUUUUUAAAAUUAAUUAAUUUGGCGAAUAAAAUUAUCCUACAAAAGUCCAGAAUUAUGAUUUAAGCCAUGAAAAAUACUCCGAAAGCUUCGAAAAUUCAGAAAAAAUUCUCAGAGAUAUUAUAGAACAUGGGGAACCCGAAUAAAGCUUUUGGAGCUCAUGAGAAGAUUGUUUGGAGCAUCUAAAAAUUAGAUCAUGCUCACAGAAAAGUAAGAACAUAAGAUAAAAAAAUUUCCCAAAAAUUUGUAGAGAGUGCUUGAUGGACGAGGAACUAAUAGAAAUGCUUUGAGUGACAAAGAAAAUAUUUUAGGAAGGUCCUAAUAAAAAUUUGAGCUUAGAAACAAAGAAUUUGGUUGUAGAUAAAAGAUAAAUACGUGCCGAAUAAGGAAGAUCGAUCUACUAAACGUAUUUUAAAUAUUUUUCUUACUAUCAACACAUAAAGGAGCAACAAGCACCACAUCAAAACAUAUGCACCAGCAUAUAUGCAUAAUAAUAUUGCUAAGCCUUAUGAUAAAAUUUAAUUUAAUGAAAAAUAUUAUUUUUCCUAUAUUUUCAUGAGCACAAAAAUACAAAAUUAAAUAAUUUUAUCUAUAUUUCAAAAGGAGUAAAUUUUAGGGUGUUACACCUGUCAGCGCUUCUUUGUGGCUGUAUUCGUCAUGAUUCAGUUCCCUCGCCCGGAGCUGCGUUCUGAGGUACUUUUGUACUUACCAUUCCGGUUUAAGUAAUUUGUUCUUAUUCAUUCUUUGGUUCACAUCUCAUAUUGAUUCAUUCUUUGGUUCACAUCUCAUAUUGAGUGCUUUGAUCUUGGUCAUUACUUGGUUGAAGUAGUAUUUUGUAGUGUAGACGUGGUGCCUAGGCUAAGUUUACUUGUGGAUGUCCCGCGAUCAGCCGGACUAUGGUAGCUCACGCAGGUGACUUUAUAGCUGCGUUGAAUACUCUAUAGUCCGCAUCCCGUUGAUAGGCUUAUAGGUUCUUGGUAGGAGAUUACUCUGUUUCUUCUCCUAUUCAGGUUACUUGUCUGAUAAGACGAUAUUAUACAAAGUUUAUCGGAGUCAGAACCAGAGUGCAUUAGCUAUUUCCUUUUUCUUGAUAUGAUCUAUCCUAAUCGUAGGGUUAAGUCUAUAUACUUUGUCAUCAUCACAACUGUUCCAGGUGGAUACGAUAUUUAAAACCUCUGGGUAAAAUGUGACACUGGUAUGAUAUCUGUACCCUUGCGGAUAAUCCUACUUAAAACUUAUUUAAAUUGAGUGCAGUUAAUUUAUACCAACAAGCAUUUUUGGCGCCAUUGCCGGAGAACGGUUUGCUGAUUUUGACUUAGUCUAGCUUAAUCUUAUAUUAUACUUUUAUCUUUUCCUAUUUUAUCCCAGUCUCUUCAUUAUUUUUGUGUUUAUUCUUAUGGAUAUUAAUUUAAAUUCCACACCUAUCUUUAUGGCAUGUGCAAAAGCUUAAAGCAUAAACCUUAUCAUAAUAUCUAUAAGCUAUGCCCAUGUCUACAUAAUAUAAUAAACCCUUCUCACAUAUAUCAUGGGAUCAUUAAUCCCGACCUUGGUUUGCUAGGCCCCAUGUUUAUUCAACAUUUGGGUCUUACCAAGAGUUUAAAGGAAUCCCUCGAUUUAUCUUCUUGAGAGUCCUUUCUUAUCUUUUUUUGAAAAGCAAGAGAUUAUGCUCAAAAGAGUUGCUCUGGCUAUUUCUGAACUCCCCAAAAGAAGAAAAGGAUUUAUUAUCCAAACUAAAAAUAGAAGUCUUGAUAAGUAAAAUACAAUCACAUCAUUCUUAAGAUUUAGCUAUCAAUCCUAAACUUUUAAAAUUCCACUUCGAUAAUUUAGACUUCCAAUUAGCUAAGAUGCUCCUAAAUCAAUGAAUAUCAUAUCUUCUUAGAAGAGUAUCUUGGAAAAAUCAUCAUCAACUUCCUUUCCUAAAAAGACAUUGGGAAGAAUUCAAGGAUGGCAUGCCAAGUGAUGCCAUAGAAGGAGAGCCAAGCCACUUAGAAAUAAAUUCUAUCUUCUCCCCUUCUAUGCCCAUAUUAAAUGUCUUUGAACCCAUCCUUGACCCCAAUAAAUUUUUUUAUGCUCCUUCUACUAAAAUUCAUAAUGACCCUAAAAAUCUAUCAAGACAUUCUAAGAAUAGGAGUCAUGAAGAUUAUAGGGAUACCCUUGAAGAGCAACAACAAUGGUAGGAAUGCGUAGAACAUAUUAGAAAUACAUAUGCUAUUGUCAAAGAAUGGACGGAAGAAGAUGAAGUUUUAGCACUAGCAUCUAAACUUGGUCUAAAUUCAAAUGUUGAGCUUAAAUCAAUUUCUUUGAUAAACAAAACUCACCCAAGUUUAGAGAAAGCUUUAGAUGAGACCAACCUUAGGGACAUCAAUUCAUAAGAAAUCCUAGAAAAUAAAAUAUCUAAUAAAUGUCAUAGGCAUGAAAUAAUAGAGGCAAACUUAUUGCCUAUAGACAACCAUGAAGAGGCACCCUUGGAGUUUGAAAUGGGAGAUCCUAUUGUCGAGCAUGUGAAUUAUUUCAUUAAACACCCUAUCAGACCCAUGCUCAUAUGAGAAAUCUCCUAGAUCAAUUAGUCUCUAAUAUUAUCACACACGAGAUCCUCAACCCUCUUAUUCUACCUAUUCAUAAAAUCAUUAAGAGGGUGGUUGUAGAUGCUCACAUAUGUUUAUCAUAAAUAUUAUAGGUCUCUUUGUAAUCUAGAUAUAGGUGCAUAAAGGCUAAUGUUCUAGAGGAAACUACCUCACCAACUCAAAUUAUAAUCAGAAGGUUUCCCAAGAACAACUUUGUGUUCUAAAAUAAUCACUCUUAAAAAAUGAAUUAAGCUUGCACCUCUAGCAUAGAAAUAUAAUUGUCAAAAUAUUCAUGUGAAUAUUCUUGUCACUAACCAUUUCAGGUUUGAAGUGAGAAAAUUAAUAGUAGCAACACCAAGUAUCACUAACCUAUCAUUAUGCAAUUUUGAAUUACAUCCACUCAAGCUUACAUUUACUUUGCAAAAUUUCAGCUUGGGGAAAUGGCCUUAUUUAGAAAAUCUUAUGUUGCUAAUAUUGAUUGUCUCUACAUUUAUUCAAUUUGUUAAUCAUGCUCUUUCAUCUCCAUUCGAAUAGCACUCUAUAAACUUUCGUGUUACCUUUGUUUGCUAUAGUAUCCUUAAGGUUUGGAGUAUUUUCAUACACCUUUUGAAUUAGGCAUGGUACUUAGUUUAAACUAUUUUCUUGAGUCAUAAUUAUAUGAGGUGUUUAGUUUGAUUCUUGAACUAAGAGAUGUGUUGAUUUUUACUUUCAAAGGCUUUUUGAAUUAAGCAUCGUGCUUAGGUUAAAAUGCCUUCCUAAAUCAAAAGUAGACGUGGUGUCUAGGUUGAUUUUUGAACUGAUAAUAUAUUGUGGUAGACAUUGUAUAUUUUGUAGACUAACCCCUGCAGAAAACUUCCAAAAUUAAUUUGGGUGAGUCAUGAGAUAAAUUCGAAUUAGAGAUGAGACAGGGACAUGCUGAACUUUAAUAACUUUGUAGAAGAAGACACAACUCAUUCAUCAUGAAUAAAAGAACUGUGAGCAUUAAUGAUUCAUUCACUUUAUCCUCUACUACAAGUUACUUUACCUCAAACCAUGUCUGUAUAAAAUAAUAUGAUCUAUGCUAAAACAAUAUUAAUACUAUCUUUUCAUUAGCAUAGAUAGAGCAAAAUAAAAUACUAGACAAGCAACCUAUGUUAAAAACUUGUAUACUCCUCGGGUAUGUGUUGUCCACUAAUCUGUUGUAGGCAUAAUAACGACUAGAGUGAAAAGAGUGAAUACUUUUAAGAAGCAAAAGAUGGCAAAAGAAUGAGUGCAACAGAGAAGACAAGAUGUCUAUGAACAACUCAAGAUGCAAUAGGAAGGACCACCAAUCAUUUACCCUUCAUCAGUUAGUGCUAUCACGCUCUAAUAAUAAAGGUAAUAUUCUAAGGUAAGUGGUCACUCUCUUCUCUUGAUCUUGGUUUGCACAUAAGUGAAGACACAAAUAUAUUAGAGUUACAACUUAAAUUGAUUAACUCAAUAUGUUUUGCUCUUUAAAAUUGUUCAUGGCACCAUUCUCUUAAUCUCAGUCUUAACUAAACAAGUUAAAACAUUAUAUUCAAUCUUGGAAAGAUGAUAGUCAUACUUAUUUGAAAAUUUAUAUAUAGAGAUAGACAAUCCUUCCAUUGGUUAAGCAAUUUCAUUCUUUUCUGUCAUGUGAACUUAAAUGCAACAUUAAAUGCUUAAUCUUUUGAUCUUACCACUCAUAAAUAAAUAAAUCAUGUAACACAACUUUAUCUUGUUUAAUAUGCAUAAGGAUGGAGAAAAAUAAAUAAAGAAAUAGAUUUGGUUUUGUUGGUGUUUUUCCACCAGUAGAGCCCAUGCACUUGAUCUCUACCUUAGUUUUGCAAACAGAACAACACAUCAAGCAAUUCUACAAGUGAAAGUUCUGUGAACAUGCACACUGAGCAAGAUGCUGCAAGCUACUAUUAAAACUCUCCUUCAACCUACUAGGAAUAAAUAGAUGAGUGAGGAAUACUUAGCUUGGUAUACGGGGGAUGCUCUCCCCCAAGCUGAAUGUUGACAUAGUCGUUCACUCUUACAGCUUGCAUGUUAGAUCUCACUGCUCUUAACUUCUAAACUACACCACUCAAAUAGACAACAAAACUUGUGGAACUGAUUAAGUGUUAGGCCAAAGAGUUUUAGUUGUCUAGAGCCUUUAGAAAUUUUAGAUUGGAUCUUUAAAUUGCAAAAACUUAAUCACAUCUAUUUCUUCUAUAAUUUCAGGUUCAAGAAAAACCUUCAAACGUUGACCAUUUACCUUGAAUAUGUUACCUAUAUCAUCCUAGAUCGUGAGGGCACCAUGAGAUGCAGCAUCAAUCACUUUGAAUGGUCCUUCCCAUUCGCUUCUAAGCUUUCCAUGACCGAAGAGCUUUACUCUUGAGUUGAAUAAUAGAACUUUAUCUCUAGGCUUGAACUCCUUGUGCUUUAUUCUCUUGUCAUGACAUCUUUUGGUUCUCUCUUUGUAGAUCUUGGAGCUGUGAUAAGCCUUUUCUCUCCAUUCUUCUAGCUCAAAUAUUUGCAUUUGACGAUUCUUGCCAGCUUGGUAGAGAUCUAUGUUUCAUUUCUUGAUUGCCCAAUGAGCUCUAAAUUCUAAUUCAAUAGGCAAGUGGCAUAUUUUUCCAUAUACGAGCUGAUAAGGUGACAUGCCUAUGGGUGUUUUGUAUACUCUGUGAUAUGCCCGUAGUGCAUCAUGGAGCUUUUACUUUCAUUUCUUCCCCAUCUCAUCCACAGUCUUCUGUAGAAUGUUCUUGAUUUUCUUAGUCGAUGUUUCUGCUUGACACCUGGUUUGAGGAUGGUAUGGAGUUGCAACAUUAUGCUUCACUCCAUAUUCUGUCAGAAAUUGUAUGAAGCUCUUAUCAAUGAAAUGUGAUCCUCCAUCACUUAUGACCAUUAUUAGUGUGCUGAAUCUAGGGAAUAUCACUUCAUAGAACAUCUUCUUGGUGUGCUUGGAGUCGGCAGCUCGGCAUGGUAAUGCUUCUACCCACUUGGACACAUAAUCAACUGCCACCAUUGAAUUUAGCAUCUCUAGAUCUUUGGAAUGGUCCCGUGUAGUCGAUUCCCCAAACAUCAAAAAACUCUAUUUGGAGGUUGUUCUGGAGUGGCAUUGCAUCCCGAGCAUUGAUGUUUCCAUGUUUCUAACAUCUAGCGCAUCUUCUAAUGAAUUCCUUUGUAUCUUGAUACAUCAUAGGCCAAAAGAAUCCACUUUGCCAAAUCUUCACAUACAUAUGGAAUGCUCCAUAAUGUCCUCCAUAGGGUGAUGCAUGACAUCUCUCUAUGAUUUUCAUUGCUUCCACCAUUGGGACACGUCUCCACAAUAAUCCAUCAGAACAAACUCGAUAGAGAUAUGGAUCAUCCCAUAAGUGGCAUUGAGCUUCAUAUUUGAGAUUUCUCUUAACUCCUCUUGGUGGAACAUAUCCUACAACCAUAUAAUUCACAAUAUUCGUGUACCAUGGGUUGGAGUGUGUUACCGCAAGGAGUGUGUCAUCCCUUAGAUAGUCAUUAAUGGGUAACUCAUGUGAUUCCUUGCACUGGAGCCUAGAUAAGUGAUCGGCUACUGAGUUCUCUACUCCAUUCUUAUCGUUUAUUUCUAUAUCAAAUUCUUGGAGUAAAAGAAUCUAGCAGAUCAACCGAGGUUUAGCAUCUUUCUUAGUGAGUAGGUAUUUGAGAGCAUCAUAGUCUGAAUAAAUGAUUACCUUUUCUCAAACUAAGUAAGAUCUAAACUUGUCUAUUGCAAAGACAACUACCAAUAUCUCUUUUUCAGUGGUAGCAUAAUUAAGUUGUGGUCCAGUCAAGGUUUUGCUAUCAUAGGAUAUAGCAUAGUGCUUUUUAUCCUUUGUUUGGCCAAGAACAGCACCAACAGCAAAGUCACUAGCAUCACACAUUCGAAAGGCAGCACCCAAUCAGGUGGUUAGAUGAUUGCAGCUGAAAUGAGUGCUUGUUUGAGGGUUUGAAAAGAUUCAUAGCACUGAUUAUCAAAGAUGAAAGGUGCAUCCUUAGCCAAUAAUCUAGUGAGGGGUCUAGUGAUUUGAGAAAAGUUUUUGAUAAAACGCCUAUAGAAUCCUGCAUGGCCUAGAAAGCCUCGGUUUCCUUUCACAUUUGUGAGAAGUGGAAGUUGUUCAAUAACUUCUAUCUUUGCUCUAUCCACUUCUAUCCCACGUUCGGACACCUUGUGUCCUAGCACUAUUCCUUCUCAAACCAUAAAAUGACAUUUUUCCCAGUUUAGGACUAAGUACUUUUCUUCGUGUCUUUGUAAGACUUUGUCUAGAUUCUCUAGACAUCAAAAGUUGUGCCACAGAUGGUAAAGUCAUCCAUGAAUACCUCCAUGAUUUUCUCAAUCAUGUCAGAGAAAAUAGACAUCAUACACCAUUACAAAGAAGCUGGAGCAUUACAUAAUCCGAACGACAUUCGUUGGUAUGCGUAAGUCCCAUACGGGCAUGUGAAAGUAGUCUUACUUUGGUCAUCAGGGUGGAUCGAGAUUUGGUGAUAUCCAGAAUACCCAUCAAUGAAACAAAAGAAAGAGUGCUUUGCAAGCCGUUCCAACAUCUCAUCGAUGAAGGGUAACAGGAAGUGAUCUUUCUUUGUAGCGCACCUAUCGGGGGACCAUCGAACGCUGAGGUUAUGUCUGAUGCCCUGCGUCGGAGCGUCCGACGCCCCCGAUAGGGCAAGCCUCUAGAUCCCAAUGGCUCUAUUUGUUGAGGGAGAUUAUAAAUAGUUGUUGGUCGGCUUGGGGCUCAGACGCUUGGCAUUCUAGCAUACUUGACAUCCUUGUGAGCCUUAGCAAACACCUCCCACUCAUCUUCUUCAUAGAUUAACCAUCUUUGUGAGAUUAGGAGUGAUUUCAAGUGCAUUUGCUUCAGUGAUUGAAUCUAGUGGCACUUGGGGAUCGAUUUGGCUGCGGUGAUCUUGUUACUCUUGGUGGUUGCCGCCACCUAGAUGGCUUGAAGCAACGGAGGAGCAUUGACAUGAGCAGGUAAUUGUUUGUGGCCAUCUCCCGCUGAUUGUGAGAGGUCUUGUACCUUCCCCAACGGAGAGCUGAAAGGUAACUCUAGUGGAUUGCUCAUGUCAUUGAGUUACCUCACUUGUGGGUAGGUUCUUAUUGUGUCCUAGUGAGGAUGAGGUUCGUGUAAUGCCUCUUAGCCAUUGAACCACCAAGUAUUGGUCGACACAACGGGGACGUAGCGUGCCGGCAAGCACGUGAACCUCGGGAGAAAAUUGUGUGUCUCCAUUGUGAUUGUUCAUUGGAUUUCUCCUAGUGAUUGGACUUCAUAUUAUUGUGAUUGGUUCAUCCCCUCUACACAGUGGUAUAAAUAUCAAAUUCUCUUAUUUCCUUUCCCGCAAACUAGAGUAGCUUACUUACUUCUAUAGAAACUUUAGGUAGCUCUCUAGUGUAAGUAGAGACUUAGUUCUUUGUGUGCCUAGUGAUAAUAGCAACUAGAAUUGUUGGAUAGGUGGCUUGCAAACACCUCUUUAGAACUAGAGCAAAAAUCUUCACUUUGUUAUUUACUAACCUCUUGCUCUAGUGAGUUUGUAGAUUUUUUAAAAUAGGCUAUUCACCCCUCUCUAGCCAUAUUAAGACUUUUCAGUGUGCCCGGGAUGAGCAGUGGCUUCUUGUCAGAGUUAGAAACCAUCAUUACUUCCUUGGUGAUGAUAUUAUACACGUCCAAUUUAAUCAAUUACACCAACUAUGCCACAUAGAUGCUCUCGAUAAAUCUCUUGUUAGCUGCUAUUGUUAAUAAGUGAUUAUUCUUUCGUUUAAUGAACUCACUAACAUGUAUAUAUAUUUAUCCUCACAGACACUAUAUAUAUACAUGUAGGUAUGAGAUGAUAGAGUCGAAAAAGAGAAGUGACACUACUGUUGGUUUCAUUAAUCCAUAUGUAGUCUUCAAAGACCCGCUUACUCCCACGCAAAAUUGGAGACCUCACACGGAGAGGAGUAUCUCGAGGGUCUUAGUGAGCACGCGCGCCACGAGAGUGAUACUCUUCCCCUACAACUUCAAGUGAGUGUGAAUUAAUAAUAAUGCAGAUCACUUAUGACUCUAGCUAGUUAAUGAGUGAUGCCUGUGUGUGCUUAUAAACACACGCAGGUGUCACUGAAAUUGUCACUGAUCUGGAAAAGAGUCGGGGGAAAUGGUUAGACUCGCUGAGAUAUGAGCAAAAGGACUCCCGAGAUAUGAUACACACUAUCACGGGUGAUUUUGGUCUCUCACACACCUAUAUAUAUAUAUAUAUAUAUAUAUAUAUAUAUAUAUAUAUAUAUAUAUAUAUAUAUAUAUAUAUAUAGGGAGAGUAUACUCUGUAGCUAGCUACAAAAUAUGUUAUUCUGUAGCCACCUCCAUUUACGAUAAUUUUAUAUACUAAUUUACGAUAAUAUGUAUAUAUAUUUGCGAUAGUUGGGUUACUAUAACAAUGAGGACAUUUACCGUAAUGUUAUAGUAAACCAUUUAAUAAGGAGUUACUAUAAUCUUGUAAAUUAAUAUAGUAAUUAUCGUAACUCAAAGUGGCUACAAAAUAAGUUAUUUUGUAGCCAGCUACAGAGUAAUAGUUCUAUAUAUAUAUGCGAACGGGAACGACGAACUGCGCAGCUUACGAUCGGUACUGCGCGGCUGUUUGGCGUGGGAAUUGGUGAACGGGAGACGACGGCGGGCUGUUUGGCGCGGGAUCAAUUGGCUGCGCGGAAAGGAGUGCCGCGAAACAAAAUUUCCGGGAAAAAAAGAUGAUGGACUUGGCAUUUUGCAUAAUGGUUGGAGAUCACCCGAUUUUAGUCUUGCCAUUUUCAUUUGGAGGUUUGCAAUUUGCCUAAAAUGCGUAACUUUAAAUGCAUAAUGGUUGGAAAUGCUCUUACGUACCGUGUUUCACGAAAGAAUUGAAUUGUUUAUUGGAGGUGGGCAGCCGAGCCAGCAAUAGCAUACUCAAAUUCUGAUGAAAACCGAUGGCUUUAGUGGCGGAGGAAAUUUCGUUUCCUUUUGGACUAUGUGGCUCCACACGCUGGCACACUGCACAGCAGCUGGGAGCAUCGCCUUUUCCAGCUCUAGCAGAAAAGGGAUGCCACCAUUUGACACUUGUUAUCAUCUCCAGGAUUUUUAAUUCAUUAAUUCUACAGAAAAAUGGCAUAUAUGCUCUUCGCGUGCUAUUGACGGGCUAAAGCGCGUAAUGGCCGUGUUAUGUAUGGUUUCCCCUUGCCAAAAAUAAUAAACAAUCAAUCUUGUAAGAUAUUACUUUUUUUAUUUUAUUGACGUGUAUAUAUUGUGAGCCCUGUAUGGUUUGAUUGUGACGUUGGUUUCUAUGUAAUCCAUGUCAUAUCUGACUUUGACAUAUAUACCAUAUAAUUGACGGAAGGGAUAUCGUAUAUAUAUUUAAUUUUUAUUAUAGACGGGUUUUAAUAACAAGCGUCCACUACUAGACUCGCGUGCGUCCACUUGAUAAUCGCAGUAGUACAAACGAGUGUACACUAUGUACGUCUAUAGUAAAACACGCAUUGUGAUAAUCGCAGUACUACAGGCGCGUCUACACUACGUACGUCUGUAGCAAAGCACGCGUCUGUGAUAAUGCAAAAACUAAGACGUCUUCCUUAGACACGCGUCUGUAAUAAAACUUCAGACGCGCGUGACACGGCUAUUGGAUAGCGCACAGAGCAGUCGCGCCUGACGGCGCUCUUCAAAAACUUGAUUGCCACCUACCCAAGCAAGUACGUUUGAUGGACGAGGUUUCGGAGGCCUACUCGCUGGAGGUCUCUGUGCGUGCAUAGAGCUCUAGCCGGAGAUGCAACAAUGGCGCUCAAGUUUCAAAACAGUGGACGGAGGAGGAACAAGAGCUCUAAGAGGUCUGUCUGCCCAGGCUGAGGCGCCUUCCACUUAUAGCCCACGCGAAGCCUUCUACCCGUUACACCCUGUCGGGGGAACCAGGGUAGUUGGGCGUUGGUGGAUGAGGCUGUGGCGGCUAGGGUUGGUGCCUAGCGCCUGGCACGCAUGGCAGUUGAUGGGCCGUGUGGCAAAACCUAGCCCACCAACCAACCAGCCACUCCCACACGCAGCCCGACGCAUCACGACACGCGCGGCGGGAGGCUCGGCUCGGCUCGAUGGCAGCGCGCGUGUGGCUCCUCGCUGCUCCUUCUCAACUUGUCUAUGAGAGCAUCCCAAAGCUCUCUAUUUAAGUUGAGUGUCUCAUUUGUGAGUAGACCAUUUGACCCUAAGAACUUUUUCACUUAACACUAAUUGUGGGCCUCUAGAGUUCAUUUGAUUAAUUAGACUAAUAUAUGGGCCUGGCCCAAUUAAUCUAACAAUCCCCACUGAACUUCAGAGGUGCACAGUUAAUGCCCUUAGUUCUUAGCUUAUCUGAUAUACCAGUGUUUCGAUGGAGACUGUUAAGUUGAACUUCCAUCUAGAAACGGGGUUCACACUCAUUCACAACUGACGAAUGGACUAAGGCCUUGAAUUGACAGUUUUGCGCAAAGUGAGGUUCACCCAAUUCCUUACUAAUACCAGGCUGUUUUAGAGCAUCCCCUCUGGUUGGAGCAUAUAAGUCAAACUCCUGGCCUUUUCAUGAGCAUCUAGAGGUCACCCAAAACCUCAUAGACUUUGACUAGCAGUCGAGCUCAUAUAGGUGGGUUCCUCAGAAUAUCCUGUAGGUUGACACCUUUGCUUAGUUAAGCCGCUCAAAACACAUUAAGGUUUGCACCUUCCUACCAUACAGAUAGAAGAGAAAUGCAUUCGUUCAAGAGAUGGGCCUUGUAGGGUCUCUUCUCUUAGUCUAACACUAGUUUGUUUCACCAUUCUACUUCAUGGGAUCUCCGAUCACAUAGAACGGGUUACCACUGUGGACCUUAAGUGGGUCUCAGUCCCAUCUCACUUGAUGCAUUAUCUAUCACGUUAUGUGAUAGUUCCUUAGUGAAUUGAUCUAUCAGAUUCUUAGACGUAUGGACAUAGUCCAAUGCUAUUACUCUAGAGUUUUUUAAUUUUCUAACAGAUUUUAAUCGCCGCUUUAUAUGCCUUGUGGUCUCCGUAUUGUCCUUUGAACUGUUUACCUUGAUGAUUAAUGUUUGAUUAUCACAGUUCAUGGAAAUUGCAGGUAUUGGUUUUUCAACUACCGGCAAAACCAUUAGGAGCUCUCGAAGCCAUUCAGCCUCAAUAGUGGUAGUAUCAAGUGUUGUUAGUUCUGCUUCCAUAGUAGACUUUGUUAUGAUAAUCUGCUUGCAAGACUUCUAGGAAACAGUGCCACCUCUAAGUGUGAAUGUAUAUCCACUUGUGGCCUUUAAACCAUCAACAUCAGAUAUCCAAUUUGCAUCACUAUAACCCUCCAGUACCUUUGGGUACCCGAUGUAGUGAAUGUAAUUCUCAAGAGCACACCAAUGAUCGUCUCUGGGAUUGGAAACAAACCGACUAAGUUUGCUCAUAGCAAACGAGAUGUUGGGUCUUGUGGCGCUUGCUACGUACAUCAGUGAGCCAAUGAUCUGGGAGUAUCUCAACUGAUCUCUCAUUAUCCUUUGGUUCUUCCUUAGGAUUAUGCUAGGACCAUAGGGGGUGGAAAUGGGUUUGCAGUCAUUGUAUCCAAAGCGACUUAGAACCUUCUCAACAUGAUGGGAUUGCAACAAUGUAACCCCACCAUUUCCUUCCCUUAGUAGCUUUAUGUUCAAUAUGACAUCAGCUACCCCCAAAUCUUUCAUGUCAAAAUUCUUUGAUAGAAAUUCUUUGACUUCCUCGAUCACAUUGAGGCUUAUCCCAAGAAUUAGUAUGUCAUCCACAUACAGGCACAUGAUUACUCCUUCUCCCCACCAUAUUGAUAGUACAUGCAUUUGUCAGCUUCGUUCGCAACAAAGCUUGCUGAUGUCAUGGUCCUGUCAAAUUUUUCAUGCCACUAUUUGGGUGCUUGCUUUAGGCCAUAUAAAGACUUCAGUAAUUUACACACCUUUCCUUCUUGACCUUCUACAACAAACCCAUCAGGCUGCUCCAUACAAAUUUCCUCUUCUAGUUCUCCAUUUAGAAAAUCUAUCUUAACAUCCAUUUGAUGGAUAAUAAGAUUAUGUGAGGUAGCUAGAGCCAAUAGUACUUGAAUUUUGGUCAAUUGGGCCACUGGUGAGUAUGUAUCAAAGAAGUCCUCACCUUCUUUUUGGGUAUAACCCUUAGCCACAAGCCUUUCCUUGUACUUUCAAUCGUACCAUUAGGCCUUAGACUUUUCUUAAACACCCACUUAUAUCCCACAGGUUUGCAUCCAUGGGGAUGGUCUACUAAUUCCCAAGUUCCAUUGGUCAUGAUGGAAUCCAUCUCACAUCAUACUGCUUCCUUCCAAUAGUCAGCGUUUAGAGAGGAAUAUGCCUCAACAAUGGUUUUGGGAGUACCAUCCAUGAGGUAUAUAGCAAAGUCAUCACCAAAGGACUAUGCAAUCCUUUGUCUCUUACUCUUUCGAGUAACUUCGUUGUUAUCCUCCUCUGAAUUUUCCACAUGUGUUUGUUCAACUUGAUCAGUUGGCACAAUAGGGGGAGCAACAACUUCACUAGUUGUGCUAGGUACAUUUCCUCUCAUAGGAAAUUCAUUCUCAAAGAAUAUAGCAUCUUUAGACUCCAUCACUGUACUGACAUGCAUAUCAGGUAUUUUAGAGUUUCUAAUCAGAAAUCUAUAUCCCAUGCUAUUUAAAGCAUAUCCGAGGAACACACAAUCUAUAGCCUUUGGUCCAAGUUUGCACUUCUUGAUUCUUGGCACAUUUACCUUGGCCAAACAUCCCCAACUGUGCAAGUAUGAGAGAGUUAAUUUCUUCUUUUCCCAUUCCUCAAAUGGAGUUAUCUCUUUAUUCUUUGUAGGAACUCUAUUCAGGACAUGACACGUUGUCAGUAUCGCCUCACCCCACCAUUCCUUAGAUAGUCCCACAGUGUCUAACAUGGCGUUAACCAAAUCAGUUAGAGUGUGGUUCUUCCAUUCGGCAAUCCCAUUGGAUUGUGGGGAGUAUGGCGAUGUCCUCUCAUGAAUAAUUCCAUGUUCCUCGCAGAAUAAAUUUAACUCUUUUGAAAAGUAUUCUCCUCCACGAUUAGACCGCAAACUGUUUGAUUUUCCUCUCAAGUUGGUUCUCAACCUCAGCUUUAUAGACUUUUAAGUAAUGCAAUGCUUCAUCUUUGGUUUUCAGUAAGUACACAUAGCAAAAUCUAGUUCAAUCAUCAAUAAGAGUCAUGAAAUAUUUUUUUCCUCCUUUGGUUAGUAUUCUAUUCAUCUCAUAUAGAUUGGAAUGGAUAAGGUCCAGAGGUGCCAAGUUUCUCACCUCUUUCACAGCCUUGUGAGCCUUGCGAGUUUGUUUUGCUUGCACACAAGCAUGACACUUGGAGCCCUUCAACAUAUCGAAUUUAGGGAUUAAACUCAUAUUAGCUAAGUACGUCAUGCAACCAGUAUUAAUAUGACACAAUCGCGAGUGCCAAACAUCGGAUAAAUCAUCAUUUGCCACAUGGUUCACAAAUUUAUUACAAGAAUCCAUCAAAGAAAAAUGGAACAAGCCUCCGUGAUCAUAGCCCUUUCCAACAAAAGUCCCAUACUUGGAAACAACACAUUUAUUGGAUUCAAAAGUAAGCUUAAAGCUAUCCCUACACAGUAGAGAUCUGUUGACGAGAUUCUUCUUGGUAGAGGGGACAUGUUGCAUGUUCUUCGGCUGCACGGUCUUUCCUAAAGUGAACUUCAAAUUGACCAUACCAACACCAUAAACAGCAGCAUGCGUACCGUUUCACAUCAGCAAGGAGGAACCUCCACCGAUCUGGUAGGAUGAAAACAAAGAAAUGUCAGCAUAAACAUGAAUAUUAGCUCCCGUGUCAACACACCACUCUAGUGAGAGAUUGACUGAAAGAAUAGUAGAUAAAUAAUUACCAUACCUCGAUCCUCCAGCCUCGCUAACAAUCAUGUUGACUUUCUUGUUUGGUUUGUCCUUGUGGUCAGGGCACUCCUUUGCCUAGUGAUCAAUAGCACCACAAACAAAGCAAACAGCCUUUUCUUUGUUCUUCUUCUUGAAGCUCGCAGCUUUGGGCUUGACAGCAUCCUUGACUUUCUUUUUCUUGUGGGCUGCAUGAGUAUUAUUCUUUUGCACCAUGUUAGCGCUAGAAAGCCCCUCAUGUGGACUUUCUUGGCACGUGUGUCUUUUGCCAUCGCAUUCUCUUCGACACCAAGGGUGGCUAUCAGAUCAGUCACACUGAACUCUUGUCUCCUGUGCUUCAGAGAAGUGGCAAACCCUAACCAAGUAGGUGGCAUCUUAGCGAUGAUACCAUCGGCCACAAACGGGUCAGGUAGCUCACACUCCAUGUUCUUGAGUUCUUUUGCCAGCAUCUAUAUUUUAUGAGCUUGUUCUACCAUAGAACGGUCAUCGACCAUCUUGUAGUCAUAGAACCGCUCCAUCUUAUACAGCACACUGCCGACAUUAGUGACCCCAAACUUGGCCUCAAGUGCAUCCCACAUUUCCUUACCCGAAGGCAGGUCCAUGUGUGCGGGCACCAUGCUCUCUCCUAGGAUAUUGAUGAGAGGAAGCCUGAACAAGUUAUCUGCCACAUUGAACUCCUUCACUUUCUCAGCGGUGAGAGGAGGUUCAAUGCACUUUCCCUUGAUCACAUGCUCACAUUUUAUCAUAGUAAACCAUAACAUGGAACGCACACACCAUGUGCUAUAAUUAUCCCCACCAUCUUUCAACGAUGGUGGUUUUAGUGAAUGCUCAAAGGUAGCACUUGAAAAUGACCUAUCAAGUUUUUGGAUUGUUGAUUAUUUAGUCAUUUUACGACGUGCAUUAAUCCACAAUACGAUAAGCAAAAUACUAGCACUAGCAUUAUUCGCAUGACAACAUCAGUUUUGUUGCAGCACCUAACAUCAUUCAUUAUGUAGGCUAAAACAGUAGCAUUUACGACGUGCAUUAAUCAACAAUACGAUAAGCAAAGUACUAGCACUAGCAUUAUUCGCAUGACAACAUCAGUUUUGUUGCAGUACCUAACAUCAUUCAUUAUGUAGGCUAAAACAGUAGCGAACAUAGAGACUACUACUAUGCAUACUAUCAUCAUACGCACGGGCGGCUCGGCUCAGCGGUGGCACACACUUGUGGCUCCUCGCUGCUCUUUCUCAACUUGUCUAUGAGAGCAUUCCAAAGCUCUCUAUUUAAGUUGAGUGUCUCAUUAGUGAAUAGACCAUUUGGUUCUAAGCAUUUUUCCACUUAACACUAAUGUGGGCCUCUAGAGUUCAUUUGAAUAAUUAGACUAAAAUAUGGGCUUGGCCCAAUUAAUCUAACAUAAAUUAAUUGGCAUGAAGCAUAUAGUUAGCACAGUAAUCGAAUGUGUUUUGUUGAGGCGGUGAAAAGCUGCGGAAAAUUAAUUUAUCUCGGUUACAUGCAUGCAACCGGGCUUAUAGGCGAGCUGAAGGGGUUGAGUCCUAUUUAGAGAUAUCCAACGGGCCGUGUAGGGCUAGCCCAAUGUCGUGCCGUGUCGUAGAUCGUGGAGCUGCUACGGGCCAUCGUGCCUAAUGGGUCAUGCCUCUACAAGCUUCGAGCCUGGCUGUCGGCCCAAGGCACGACUCGCGGGCCGAUUUUCGUGUCGUGCCGGCUCAUGGCCCUUUAAACCGACAACAGUUCAUUUUCAUCAAUAUUUUCACCAAAUGCUGAAAUAUUUCUUUAUUUUCACCAAUUAUUCAUCAUUUUUAACAAUAUAACAAUUAACAACACAUAUAUACAAGUCAUAACUACACCAACAAUCUAUGUUCACCGGGCUGCUACCGGGUCAACCGUUGGAAUGGGCCGUGCACGUGCUGUGCCGCGUGUCUGGGUGGCGGCCUAGACACAACCUAGUCCCUUGGGCCGGGUGGCCACCGUGCUGUGCCGUGCUCGGGCCGGGCCAUCGGACCAUAGGCCACAUGGCCAUGUAUAGUCCUAUUGGUCUUUGCCUCUUUGGUCAGAUGUCUGUUUAAGGACGCGAGGUUCACCUUUCUUUAGGGUUGUAAAAAAUAACUUGAUCAACUUAUCGUUAAUUCGUUAUGAGCUACUUUAGGUUCUACGAUGCACAUCUCUAAACCACAUGCAAAUUAUUUAAAGGUGAAACAGAUCAUAUUUUGUUCAUCGUACAUUCUAAGGUAAUUAUUAUGCUUCUCCAUCGAUUGGAGGUCAUAUAUGUUAGAGAUGACAACUAGAAACAAUAUGUUAAGAAUAAACUAUUUUCUGGAGUUUAUAUGUCGAAUAUAUCAGUCAUUCAGUAGUAUUUUUCUCUCAUAAUAAAUCAGCGAAUAAUACUUGGCUUUUCUACCAAGCGAACGGGCUUGUCUCACAUGUCACGACCCUUUCCGUCUCACAAGCCGUCACUGCCUGCUCCUCGACACCGCCAUCACCGCUGCCAUGCUUAGGGUCCCUCUCCUUCUUCCUCUCCGACAUGUCUGCUAGAAAUAAAAAGAGAAAUAGAUCUAUCUCUUUAGUUUUUAUAGUUUUUUCCUAGUUGCUUAGGAUUUAGUCCAAAUAAAUAUUCUAGUAAAAUCAGAUAAUUUUAAGUUGGAGUCAUGUUUCAUGCGAUGAGUUCGAUUAUUGCCACGACAAGGCAGCCAAAGCUGUGGCCAUUAGCUUCAAGGAGAGGGGUACUUCUAGGCGCCCCCAAUAAAGACAUCUACUCCUAGUCAUCGAUAUCAUUGUCGUUGGCCGUGAAUGUGAAAUCAAGGUUUGAAGGUGAUAAAUAUGCAUCCCAUGCUGCUCCCGACGAUGCAACUGGUGAUAUUGUUUUGUGUUUUGGACUGGUUUCGAAAUGUCGAAUCUUGCGACAUGUCUAAUAUUUUAGAUUUGGUUGUUUGAUUCAGCAUAAGGUUUGCACUUUGUCUCCAAAGAUGCUAUUGGGGUAGAAGAAGAUGGAAAAGAAUCCAAAUAGAGUAUUAUGUAUUUUUUUUAGAUUUUUCAUAUGUAAUUUAGUCUUGUACUAUGUGUGAGUUUUAAUAUAAUCCUCCCUCCCUUCACCAGAUUUCCUAUUCCAUUCAUGCUUUCACCCUUAUGACUGUCCAAUGCAAAUACAAACGGGAAUAUUUACUACGAACUCGAGACGUACAAGGGCUAAUUAAAGAGCCUAUUGGCACUAAAACUUAACAGUUAAAAUUAGUACUAGUGGAUAUAAAUAAACCUGCUAAUUAUUAGUUGGAGGUUUUACUAAGUAGUAGUUCCAUUAACAGGCUUGCUAAUGCAAACUACAUAUAAUUUCUAAACCUAUUAGUUUUCACAUACACUAUACUAUAUACAGAAACCAUGCUUCUAAUGGAUAGUUCCUAUAAAAUUCAAUCACAUUCAUUCUCUCUUCAUUCUCUACCAAUCACAUCUAUUUAUGUCUUAGUUCAUGUAUAGACAUGGUUUCUAACUUAGACCCUGUUUUUAUGAUUUUUGCUCUCUUUCUCUCUUCAAUAACUAUCUUGCUACCUUGACAAAACGCUUAGAUGCCAAUAUAAUUAAUGCUCAUAAAAGAUAAUUUCUACAUUGAGAGUACCCUAAUACAUAAUACUAGUUCAUAUACACCUUCAGUUUAGUAUUCAACCAUCUAUUAGGACACUCCCAAUGCAGAAACCUUCACAGUUUCUAUGGACAUUAAUUGUACUGCCAACUAAGCAUUUUGCUGAUGUGGCAAGGUAAUUAUUGAAGAUAGCAAAAAUCAUAGAAAUCGGGUCUAAGAUAAAAACCAUAUCUACAUGAGAACUAAGACAUAAAGUGAUGUGAUUUGUUGAAAAUGAAUAUAUAUGUAUAUAUAGUGUCUAUGGAAUUUAUAGAUAUAGAAACUCCGUGACUGCCCUUAGCAGGUGGAUCCAAACAGCCCGCUAAAAAUUAGCAACUUUUAGUUAUUAGAUAGCUAAUUUUUAAUGCUAAUGGAUCGAAACAUGCUCUAAGGUCUUUUAAACUGGAUUCAUUCUCAUAAUUAUAAUUUAGAUAUAGUUUAAUUAAGCUAAUAUUGUUGUAUAUAAAAUAUGUUUGUAUAUUAUUGUUAUGUUAGCUAUACAAAGAAGAUACUUAUAUGUUGUAUUUGCACCGUAGAGAAGUAAGUUGAAUAGCAUGUUAUAAGUUAUGAGUAGAAAUAUAACAUGGUAAUUUAAAGAAUUAAUUUUCGUCUCUCAUCUUAUGAUUUUGAGAUAUCUUUAUAUGUAAGCUUGAAAAAAUUGUGAAAUUUUAAGUCAAAUAGUCUAAAUAAAUGUAAAAUGAAUUCGUUCAUUCAUCGGUGGCUAACUUCGGACUCGUUCCUCCUAAUAAACUACUAGUAUGCUUUUGCAACGAACGACCGUGAUGCGCCGAUUUGUCCAUAGUAGACCACACCGCCGGUCCCUGAAAGUCUCACGCUUUUGGCUUGUGGCUCCACUUCUCGCUUCUUGGAAUCUCGAGAGAAACCGCGAUGGACAACAGUCCACGGGCCAGGCAUCGCAGGCACGACACGGUCCGCCGGCCCCACCUACCCCAGUCCCGGUCCCACGCGCUGACCGCACAGUCGACCCAGCCACCAGCCACCACUUCUCCCGCUCCAACCGCAGCCGCAGCCGCAGCCGCAGCCGUCGGCCGCUCCUCCUUCCCCAACCAGCAACCAAACCCACCACCACUACCAACCAUCCCCAAAACCCCACGAGGAAUCCCCCAAAUUCGCCCUGCUCCCUCGCAGAUCGCACCAUCCGCGCGCGUUUCCAUCCAAUUCCACCCGCCCGCAGCCCCCGACGACCCGCCCAAGCCGAGGCGCCGGUUUCUCUGAUUGGGGUGGGAGGGGAGCGGAGAUGGGGGAGGGGGUGAAGGAGAUGCUGGCUCCGCCGAUCCAGCUGGCCGACGAGGUCGCCAAGCAGUCCGCUGCCGCGCGGAGCUUCCGCGUCGAGUGCGCUGACCUCAAGGCCCGCGCCGACAAGCUGGCGGCGCUGCUGCGGCAGGCGGCGCGGGCCCCGGAGCUCUACGACCGCCCCGCCGCCCGCAUCUUGGCCGGGGCCACCCAGGCGCUGUCCAGAGCCUCCGCCCUCGCCGCCCGCUGCGCUAGGGGGCACCCGCGCCUGCGCAGCCUCUUCACGCUCAGCCCCGCCGCCGGGUUCCCCCGGGCCGUGGCGGCGCUCGACACGGCGCUCGAGGACGUCGCCUGGCUGCUCCGCAUCUCCUCGCCUGGCGCCACCGGCGACGGGGACGACGACUCGCUCCUCGGCCUCCCCAACAUCGCGCAGAACGAGCCCAUCCUCUUCUUCAUCUGGGACCAUGUCGCGCGCCUGCACACGGGCUCCCCCGCCGCCCGCGCUGACUCGGCCGCCAACCUCGCCUCGCUCGCCCGCGACAGCCAGCACUUCGCCAAGCUCAUCAUUGAGGAGGACGGCGUGCCGCCGCUGCUCAAGCUGCUCAAGGACGGGACCGACGAGGGCCAGGAGGCCGCCGCACGCGCCCUCGGCCUCCUGGGCUGUGACGCCGAGAGCGUGGACAAGCUCGUGCAGGCCGGGGUUUGCUCCUCCUUCGCCGCAGCGCUCAAGGAGCCGCCCAUGCGCGUGCAGGCUGCUGUGGCGGAGGCCAUCGCGUCCCUGGCUGACCGGAGCUCCACCUGCCAGGACCUUUUCGCGCAGAACAAUGCCGUCCGGUACCUUGUUGGACACCUCGCUUCUGGGACUAUCCAGGAGCACAGCCGGUACUCCGUCGGCUCCAGCAGCUCCAAGAACAGCGCAGCUGCUGCUGCCACAACGCAGCAGCCCAUGAAGUCACUCCACUCGGUGGUGCUUGCCAAGACGCUGAGCAUGCGCCACACUGGUGACCGCGACAUCUCCAGCGGUGGCGCCGAUGAGCCGCCAAGGAUGUCCAAUGGAACACCAGGAGGCGACCAAGACACGAAAUGGAACCCCCAAAUGCAGUCAGUGGUACACUCGGCUAUGGCUGCCAAGACAAACACAAAUGGCUCAUUGGUUCCGCCAUUCAGGCCUCAGCUAGGCACCAGUGGCUCCAGUGGCCGUGGUGCUCGUGAAGUGGAGGAUCCUGAAACCAAGGCACAUUUGAAGGCUAUGGCAGCAAAAGCUUUGUGGAAGCUUGCUCAUAACCAUUUGGGUGUGUGCAAGAGCAUUACAGAGUCACGCGCGCUACUGUGCUUUGCUGUGCUCCUUGAGAAGGGUGAUGGCGAUAUGGGCACUAAUGUGCAGUACUUCUCAGCAAUGGCCAUCAUGGAGAUUGCCCGUGUCGCUGAACACAGCCUUGUGCUGCGGCAAUCAGCAUUCAAACCCAGCUCGCCAGCAGCCAAGGCUGUUGUUGAUCAGCUGCUCCGUGUCGUCCGCAGGGGUGAAUACGAUGCAUUGCUUCUCCCAUGCAUCACUGCCCUUGGCUGCCUUGCCCGUACCUUCACAGCAAGUGAGACCAGGAUAGUGGCCCCUCUUGUGCAGCUUCUCGAUGAGCGUGAGCCUCCAGUCAUAAAGGAGGCUGUUGUUGCGCUCACCAAGUUUGCGUGCACUGAGAACCACCUACAUGUGAACCACUGCAAGGCCAUUGUUGAUGAUGGUGGUGCGCGCCACCUUGUCCAGCUUGUCUACCUUGGCGACGAGGUGCAGAUUGAGGCGCUCAUACUACUCUGUUACAUUGCACUGUAUGUGCCUGAGAGCGAGGAACUCGCACAAGCUGGUGUGCUGGCUGUGUUGCUUUGGGCAUCAAAGCAGGCUCACAUGGUGCAGGACACGCGUGUUGAGGUGUUGCUUCCAGAUGCCAAAGGGAGGCUUGAGCUGUUCCAGUCCAGGGCCUCCAGGUGAUGUUGGAGACGGGAUCAUUGGACAUGGGUUAGUAGUUCUUUAUUGCAAUGUGUAAUUAGAGUAGAAUUAUUUCCAUCAUCCGUAAUUGCUCUUGUGAGGUAUGUUACAUUUUAGGCUGUACAUAUGAAGUCAUCUAUUUGUCUAUGAAAUUGGUUGGGGUUAUUGAAUUAUAAAUUAUAAAUUCAUGAGACAUUGAAAUAGAACAUAUUGGCCAUGAAUUUUCUGUUGUUUAUAUCUUCUUAGAGUUAAUACAAAACUAGAACUGUUCUGACUAUAGCAUCAAGUAACUAUAGUUCCUGGUGUCUGUUUCACAAGAUCACUGCUACUUGUGCACUCAGUGCGAAGGAAAUUUAGCUUUUAUAAAAAUCGUAAUGAAACAGUUUGUCAGCUCUAAUGGGGUUGCUACUGCAGUAUUAGGCUGACAGGAGUGUCCAUGCUCCUGUUCUGUUACGGUUUUCUAGCGGUUGUAGUUUCUUGUUACCAAGGGCACUAGUAGCUGUGGUUUCAUGAUCAGCACCAUAGUUGUGGUUCCUCGUUACAAUGGUCAGGAUAGUUGUAGUUUUGUAAAUUAGUUAUAUAUCUUAUUUCUCCAAAGUUACAGUAUUAUGACAUGAAUUGAACUUUGUUCAGAUAUUUCACUUUUGUUAUGUUGUGAGUGUGUUUGAGCAAAUGCAACGAGAAAUAAUAGGCUUUUAGCUGCAUAAUUCCUAGAAAAUUGUUUGUAAUCAAAACCAACGCUGGCAGUCCCUGGUUGCUGGUUGCCCUGCAUCUGUGACUAUAUUUAGUUUGCUGGAUCUCUAAGUGUGAUUGUUUUACAUAUGAGCAGUAUAUUUUAAUAGUCAAUAUUGGACAAAUAUUGAUAAAUAUAAAAGUUCCAGGAGUAUUUCAGAGAUCUUCUACUUGUUCAUCAGAAUUGGGUUUGUCCAAUUUUCAAAUUUUCUGUUUGUUCCCCAAAAAUGUUCCCAUCAUGGUUGCACUUGUUCCCUUUGUAACCCUGUCUGAAGUUUUAUUGAAACAGAUUUUGCUUAUAGCAGUUAUAUUUAGAGCAACAUUCUAAUUCAGUAAGGAAAAUCAGAAAUUAAGUGGUACCUGGGAAGCAUAAUAUUGUCUCUUCAUUUGCAUCAAUUGUUCAAUACAAUUACACAUACUAGAGCCACAUGUUGCUGUCAAAAUUUCAGUCUAGAGAUUAUUAUGGAAGAAAACCAAACUGUUGACUGAAAUAAAGUUGAGCAAUCAUUCUCUGUGGAAUACAGUCCAAAUUGUAAGUAAGCUGGUUUUGAAUAUGGAUAUUUGUACUUGUUCCUUUUUGCUUUUGUUUAUAUUGAAUCAGAAACUGGAUGGUAGGAAGAAAAUAAGCCUCUUCAGCAGUCCCAUGAGCCAUCAAUGUUUUUCGGUUUUCAUACAGAUUUAUAUUAUGUAAUGAACUAGAGUUUAUAUAUGUGAAUAAUGGUACAGUUCUUGUACUCAAACAUCAUCAAACCAAUAGUUGACCAACUUUAUUUAUUGCUUUAAGUAUUUGUAGCUGUCUUGCGUAUGUUAGCCAACUUCCUCCUUACAGAUUCGGCCAGUUCGUUCUUUAGGCCACCUGCUUUAAUCCUAUAGUGAAAAAGGACACAAAAUUAGGCCAGUAGAAGCAAUGAUAACAGAGAUUUGUAAUGCUUAAUCUAUGUAUAUAUAGCCUAUAACUACAAGAGGUUUGAAAAUCUAACAAUUUAUUUUUUUAUGCAGUUGAGUUGAGCAAUUCUUGCUCUUGACACCAGUUGCUGAGUAGAAGAUUGUUUUGCUAUGUUACCCUAGUUGCAAGUUGCGCCAUCCUUGCAAAUACCCCUGUUUACUUGUCUGAUUGCGACUGGUGAUAGAAUAUUAUCUGGCCAUGAUCAUGCCACGUGGAAAACGAGGCGACUGACAUUGACAUGUGGGACCCGCUCUGGUUGCUAGUGUUAGCUGGCCAGCAUGUCAUUGUCAACAUCUGUUCCCACAUGACCAUUGACCAAGCUACUCACCGCAGCCCUUAGGGAUGGUGAUUCCGCAGUGUUUGGUAACGUAGAACACCUUCUCCAUGCUUAGUUUGUCCUUGGCGUCGGGGGAGCUCAGAUAGUCGCAGAUGCAGGGCGCAUCGGCAUCUGUAGCCUUGAGGGUUUUGCAGCAGCCCUCGGACGGAGGCUGCUCGGGCCCGUCCUUCUGGACGAACUGCUUGCAGCUGCGCCACAGUGCGUCGAUGUCAUUCUGGCAGCCUGAGGCUUGUGGGUCAUGAGGACCUGGGACUUGUGGGACUUGUUGAGCUGAGAUUGCUGCUGCGGCGGCAAGGAUGAUGAGGAGAAACGUCGCGGCCAGGCGGCCAGCAGGGCUCAGCUGCGACAUGUCCGUCUGCUCUUUUGGUGGACUGGGACUUUCCCUAUUGGUUCGUGGGAGUAUUUUUUUGUUGUUGUAAGUAACAAAUGGUGUGCAUCUAAGACCUGGAUGGCAGUUGGUAUUUAUAUGGUCUCUGUUGCUUGGACCCUGGUUUAGGGUUCCCUCUCAAGGUUGAUUUGCAAUGCGAAUUUUGUGAACUGUUUUCAGGGUGCGUGUUUUGCUUAAGCACUGCAUUUGCAAAUGCCAUAAGUGUGACCCUUAAUUCAUGGGCGUUGAGCAGCAGUUACCACUCGCCUGACGCAACUCCAGCAGGCACCGGACUGUAGCCACGCCAGCGGGCAUGUCAGCGUCGUUCCACAUGAUGUGAGCAGGCCAGCAUGUCUACUUGUCUAGGCUCCGUUGGCACCUGGGGCCAAGGGGCCCGCCUGACCCCUUGGACUCUGACCCUGAGAAACUAGGCAUCGUUAUCCUAUCAGUUAUCACGGCUGUGAGUAAACCGUACGACGAUUCCUUAGUUCAGGCCUUGUUUAGGGCCUGUUUAGAUUCGGAACGAAAUUUUUUGGGUGUCACAUCGAAUGUGUCGGAAGGAUGUCGGGAGGGGUUUUUAGAAACUAAUAAAAAAACAAAUUACAUAGCUUGUCAGGAAACUGCAAGACAAAUUUAUUAAGCAUAAUUAAUCUGUCAUUAGCAUAUGUGGGUUACUGUAGCACUUAAGGCUAAUCAUGGAGUAACUAGGCUUAAAAGAUUCGUCUCACAAUUCUUAACUAAACUGUGUAAUUAGUUUAUUUUUUUAUCUACAUUUAAUGUUCUAUACAUGUGUCCAAAGAUUCGAUGGGAUGGAUGAAAAAAUUUUGGGUGGGAAACUAAACAGGCCCUUAGUUCUGAUCCAAAAACAUUUAAGAUUCUUUAUUAUAUUAAAUCUUACGGUAUAUGUAUUGAUUAAAUAUAGAUAAAAAAAAUUAAUUAUACAAUUUGUUUGUAAUUUGAGAGAUAAAUUUUGAGUGUAAUUAGUCCAUAGUUAAACAACAAUUGUCAAAUAGAAACGAAAAUGCUAAACAAGGCCUCAGUCUCGUACCAUUAGAGUUUAUAUGGGUAAUAAAUAUGAUCUUAGUAACUAAAAUGGCAUCCUAUUACUAUCAACAGAAUAGGAUAUUGUCGGUCAUUCAAUACAUUUAUUUGAAUGGCAGACAAGUUCAGACGACGGUCCAAACACUCUAGGCGAACAUUCCAGUCAUUUCUUCUGAGAAAAUCGGUUACUGUAGAAGGAUCUGAGCUGCUUGACUAUCUUGUAGAAAAUUUUACAAAAUGGCUAAUGUAGCAUUUUCGUUUGUAUUUAGCAACUAUUAUGUAAUCAUAGAUUAAUUAAGCUUAAAAGAUUCGUCUCGUAAAUUACAGAUAAAUUAUGUAAUUAGUUAUUUCUUUAUCUAUAUUUAAUGUUCUAUGUAUGUGCCGCAAGAUUUAAUGUGACCAUAAAUUUUGAAAAAAUUUAUAAAAUUUUGGUAAUAAACAGCCCCGGACAGAAAAUGGCUUGCGUAUUGUCUAAUACUUGUACUGCGGACUAUAGUUGUCUGAAAGCUUGAUGGCAGGGCAGUUACAUGCCUAGGGCCACACUAGCCCAGGCCAGGCGUCAUUUAGGUCCUGUUUGGUUGCAUUCGUUCAAAUUUACCGUUCAUUACAUCAAAUGUUUAGACACAUACAUAAAGUAGUAAAUAUAAACUGUUUAUGAAACUAAAAACAUAGCUAGAGUAAUUUGCGAGACGAAUUUUUUGAGCUUAAUUAGUCCAUAAUUAGACAGUAAUUGUUAAAUAAAACAAAAAUGCUACAAUACCUGUUAAAGUUUAACAACCCCAACCAAACACCCUCUAAGCGUAGCAUCAAAAGUCCAUCAAUCACAAGUCGGGUGUGGUCUAAAAUUUCAUUUUUACCCCCAUUAGUUCUCAAUGGUCCAACCAACCUUCCUAUAAAAAUGGUUAGAGACAUUGUCCAAUCAGUAGUGUCCAGCAUAUAGUAACAAAAGUGUCCAGCAUAUAGUAACAAAAAGUCCAUCAGUAGUGAAGCAUAUGUUAGUGUUCCACUCCUCAUUUCUCCUAAUUGCAUUCCUCCAAUCAGGUUGUCCCUAUGUCCAAGUUCGAUCCUCUUUAUUUCAAAAUUUCAAUUCAACUAGCUGAAUUUAUGGUUAUUUAUGCUGCAAUUUGUAAACUUUUCCUAAAUUACAGAGCCAAAAGGACUAAGACAUUGAAAUCCAUUUACUGUCAUGUAUGUUGUGUUUCCUAUCAUCAAAUUUCACUGAUAAAGUGUAUUUUUAUAUUGCAUCUCCCAUUGACUUUCAAUUUCCAAAUUUUCAUGUAUGAGGUUCGACUGCUAUCAUGUUUGAUGUACAAAUGCGAAAUGUUUGUGGAAUUGAAAUAUCUUCUAGCUUGUGCUGUUCAUGUAAGUAUGUGUGCUCAUUAUCAAAAAUCUUAGGCUUGGAGUUUCGCCAGCUGUGCCACUGCUUGAUGGCUUGUAGUUAGUCUAUAGUACUCAAUUAUUUGUCGGAAUACUUUGAGACCUUGACAUGUAUACUAGGCAACUUCUUGAGGAAAUGGAAGUAGUUUACAUAGGUGAACACCAGUACAAUAAUCCUUACUCCAAUAUCUCCUAAGACAUAACUACAGUUUGAUAAACUUUAUUCAUUAUUACGAGCUGCCUCGCGUAUGUUAGCCGCCACCUCCGAUCCACCAGUCCGUUCUUUCUCAAACCUGCUUUUAAUCUGUAAUAAAAGAAAUGAAAAUAACAUCGAAGUAGCACUUUAACUUUUCGAAUAAGAAGCGGCCAGCUCAAAAUAAGAUUACAUUAAUUCACCUAUAUAUUGGUAAUUCCCUACGCCUUGAAUGACCCAACAAUACCUCCACUCUUUUUUUUCCCCAAUUUGGACAGUUCCUGAUCUUGAGACCAGUUAUUGAGGCCCUAUUUGGUUCCCCUUGCUAAAAUUUUGAUAGCUAAAAUUAUUUUAGCUACUCUUAUGUGACUAGUGGGACUAAACUAUUUUAGCUUAUUUUAGUCAGUGUGUUUAAAACUUUAGCUACUGACUAAAGUUUAGCGAGGGGAACCAAACAAGGUCUGACUCGAAAUUUCCACAUGAUAUCCUAGAUUCCUAGUAGCAAGUUGUAGUGUUGUUUUUAUUCUAGCAUAUCAUUACUUCUUCUUCUCUAACCGAUCUCAGAUAAUCUGAGCAUGAUUAGCAGCAGCUAGCAAACUGACACCAAUAUGCGGACCCUCUGCGAGUUGCAAUUACGAUUGUGAACCAGCAAGCCAGCGUAGUUCCUACACGGCUACACGGCAUUUGACCAAAAUCACAAGCUACUCACCUCCGCAGAACCAUGGGAUGGAGACGGCGCACUGCCCGGCGACGUAGAACACCUUGUCCAGGUUGAUGUCGUCGAGGGAGCUCAAGUAGUCGCAGACGCAGGUAGCGUUGGCGAUACCGCUCACGGUGGCACAGCAAUGCGGCGAUGGCUGCACCAUGGGACCCUCGUCCUGGACGUAGCGGUAGCAGGUGCUCCGCAGGGCGACGAUGUCGUUGUAGCAGGCUGCUCCCGCCGUUGGAGCUUCAGGUGUGGCAGC